rnacentral:lncRNA from 1 species
AAUUUGGUCCUGUAUAUUUUGUUCUAAUUUGGUCCUUGUAUUUUUAUUGUCUCAAUUUAGUCCUAAUUCUUUUAAAAAUUUAAAAAAAAUUGUUCCUUCCCAGAUAAAAUACGGUAUGUAUAUUUUCCAAAUUUUUUUCUUUAAAUUUGUUUCUGAUAAGCAAAUUAUUAGUAAUGAUGUAUUUCAAAUCGAAAUAUUUAACUCUAGAAACUUUUUAUGAAUUGUUGAGGAAGUAUUGAGACUAUUUACCUUCACAAAAAUAUUUAUUAUUGAGAUGUUAACUUUUAUAGGUUACUCAUUCAUAUCAUUUAGGUUAAAUGAUUUCUUGACUACCGUAUAAAUAAAAAUGUGUCAUAUGUUAGUUUGUAAUUUGUUUAUUUUUCUAAUAAAAAAAUUAAUUUGUAUAAAUUUCUUUGUAAAGAUUUAUAUACAAAUAAAAUUUUGUUUGAACUUGGAGAGAAACAAAAUUUUUAGUUUUUUUUAAAAAAAGGACUAAAUUAAGACAAAAUAAGAAUUAAGUAACCAAAUUGAGACAAAUUAAAAAUAUAGGAGCCAAAUUGAGACAAAUCUAAUGACACAUGGUCUGAUAGUGACACGUGGCACUGUCGGUGUCACCUCACAUUGUCAUUGUCAUGUGGCUCAAUAUCAACUUGACACGUGGCAAUUUAAAAAAAAAAUAAAAAGUAAAAAAUAAAAAUUAAAAAUAUGUUAAAAAAAUUCAAAAAAUCACGAGCUGACACGUGUCAUCUGUUAGUACGGAACUAACAACAGUGACCUAAUGACUUCAAUUUUUCAAAAAUAGGAACCCAAUUGAGAAAAAGAAAAAAAUAAGAGACCUAAUUAAAAAAAAUCACCGAAAAUAAAGACUAUCAGAAUAAUUAAACUAAAAACAUAAAACCCGUUAGCCUUAUUUGAAUAUUUAGUACAUAACCAACUUUUUUUAUUACUUUGACCAUUAUUUUCAAACCAUGUGUUGGAUAGAAAACAGUUAACACAAAAGCAACGGUGUAGAUCAAUUUCGUUUCAAAAACAUCACAUGUACGGUUUUAACGGCUAUAAAAAUUAAAAUAAAAUAAAAUAAAAAUUAAACAUUUUUUCGUUUUCUUUUGUCCCGUAAAAAAUUUCCCCAAAACCACUACCAAAUAACAACUAUCUAUUUAUUAAUUAAUUAACAAGUUUUAAACACAAUUUUUUUAUCACAUAACUUGACCCUCCAAGUACGAAUUGAGUCAAGAAAGAACCGUAGAAAAGAAAAAGGAUCUGAAAAAAGAAAAAAAAAAAAAGAGAUAGUUUAGGUGACACGUUUGUAGAGUGAAAGAACAUGUGACGUUGUACCCAAUUUAAAUUCAAACAAAGUAAGGAACAAAUGGUUGGUCUGCUUAUUCAUCAUUUAUGGUAGAAAGAAGAAACGCGCAACUAUGUUUUGCAGACAAAGUCAAUAGUGUACCGUAUACAACAUUGUUACAAACCAUUGUUUUUUUUGUUGUUUUUCUCUAAAUUACUUGAAGUAACAUUUUUUUGUUUUGAUGAGCUUGGCAAAUUAUUAUGCUCUAUUAUCACGCAUCUCUCUUUAUUGCGACCAAUUACACAACAAAACAAAAAACAGACCACAUUUUUACUUGCUCUGAGCUGUUUUGGAUUUGGCUUUUUGGUUCUCCAAUCUGUCUUCUGCUAUUAUCAUUUGCCUCUUUUUCUUUUCAUUUUAUUUUCAAACUUAACAUCAUUUUAGCACCAUCUCAUUCAUUACUUUCACUACUCUUGCAUACAUAAUAAUGAUAAUAUAUAAUUCACCAAUUCAUAUCUCUAUUAACCUUUCAGACCCUCUAAAUGAAUCCUCCUCUUAAAAUUUUAUGUAUUAUUUCUUUGGAAGCUUUUCUUCUACUGUUAAUAAUAAAUAUCGUUAAAAAUUAUUUUGAAAAUAUAAACUAUAUUUUGAAUAUGAAAUUUUUUAGCUUGUGGAUAUUUUUCAACAUCUUUUCCUUUUCAACUUCAUGGGCACUCUUUUUUCGGUGUAAAAGACUGAUUUUUUUUUUUUUUUUACAUUCGAUAAAACUAACCAUCAUAAAAUAUAUUUUCAAAGGCACAAAAUUAUUUUGAUUAUAGCCAAUAAUUGAUAUAACGAAUUAUACCUAUAAUUGAUUAUUAAAUAAGUCUAAAUUUUGCAGCUAUUAAAAAUACACAAUAAUAGACAUAAGAUUAUUUCAGUUUAUCCAAUGUUUUUUAAUUCUAGUUUCGAUAUCCAACUAUGUUAAAUAACACCGAAGAGAAACUUCUUAUUUCUAAAUAAUUUCGUUCUACUUAAACAAUAUUUUAUUUAAGGGUGUUUUCUGAUUGAAAGUUUGAUAGUGCAAACUCCAAUGUAUUUUAAAGAAGUGACAAAGAAGUUAUACUUAUAGUCUUCUUUGAGUCAAACUUGAGUUUUUUUUUUCACUUAAAAAUACUAAUAAAUAUUAUUUAUCAUAUUUUAAAACAGGUUUAGAAAAAAAAAAGAUGAUAAAAUAAAGUAAUAAUAUUAAAAAGACAAUAAGAAAAACACUCUAUGAGUAUUUGAAUUGAGAGCCCCCAAAGUAGGGAAAUAAUUGAAAAUGAAGAAAAGCUCCAAGUUGGUAUGCUUUCCAUUGUGAUGAAGCAAUAAGCAUCCACAUCUUACAUCUAGCUAGCAAGCAAGCUACUUGGUUGUGGUGUGUUCUUUCUGUGUCUCUAAUCUUCUCUUCUCUUCUCUUCUCCUCUUUUCUCUCUCUUCAAUACCAUGGGUUCCUCCUCUAGUAGACCUGCCACUCGCCCUUCUGCUUCUUCUACUCACAGGGUCAACCGCUUCAGAUUAUCGUCUCUUCUAUGUGGCACCUCCACCUCUCGCUCCAUUCAUCAGGUACCCUUCUCCGUCUUCCCCCAAAAUCCUUUCUUCCACCCUCUUUCCUUAAUACCCUUUUCCUUUUUCACGUUCUCUUACGCUUUUAAAAUUCAAAAAUUUGAUUUUUCACAUCUGGGAUUCAUCCAUCUGAUCCCUUUUCUUGAUCACAGGGAUAAAUAAAAGUAAAGCAUAUCUGAUAUGUGUCUGUUUUCUUUAAAAUCCGUUGUCUCCUUCUUUUUUUUUUCUGUGUAGUUGUAAAUGCAAAUUUAGUUUUUCAAAGGGCAAAGCCAAUCGAUUGAGCUUGACUUAGGGAUAGAAUUUUGUAGAAGUAUUGCUUGUUUUUAGGUAGUUGUUUUCCUUUUUCGGAAUUGCUUGUGUGAGAUCAUCUUUCAUACAUGAAUUGAUUGUCAUAGUUGCUGGAGCUUUUAGAAUCUGGUAAUUUAUCAAUUGAAUUGUACUGGUUGACGUAUUUGUGCUUAAACAAUGGAACUAUCAGCUGUUGAAGCCUAAUUGCCCGUUGUAUCAAUCAUUGUCAGAUUAUUGGGUUUGGCUUAUUGUUAUUGUUUUCGCCGGGUGGUUUUAAUGAUUCAGUAAAUGGUGCAAAUCUCUAACAUCUCUAAGAUUUUGAAUUCGCCAUUCACUGGCUAGCAGUGACGCUCAUUUACUUUGUGUUGAUUCGUCUGAAUUUUGGAGACGAGUUGGUCAAUAUUAUUUUUUGCGCUUUUGAAUCUAUACAAGGAUACAUUCCAAAGAUCAUUUAUGUUCUAGACUCAUUGAAUACUUUCGAGAGGAAAACAUAACUUGUUAGUAUUGUUUGAAAUUCUGUGCACUAGCUAUGUUAAAUAGAUGGUACAAUUUGGGGAAGACUGUUUAAAUAAUUGAAGACAGGUUGAUGCAGGAAGUGAUAUUCUUAUAUUGUGUUUUUAGAUGGAAGAACAUUCAUCUGAACUUCAGGUUCAUUUAGCAAGAAAUUUUGAUGGUGAAAUUCAUAAAGUCACUGAGGAAUCAUCUUUAUCAUGUACAGAAGCUAGAAUUAGCUGCAGUCCCCCUGCUGAAACUUCAACUUCAUCUGAUAUGAGAANCGAAUUCCAUGGGAAUACUAGUGCUGGAAGUUCUUAUCGAAACGUUGCAACACAGAGUCAGAGGGACUGCUUGUCUGAACACGAGGAGCAAGCCCCUCCUUGUCAGGUAAGUGCUGGUCAUAGUGGUCGUGAAUCAUAUAGUGAUAGUAGCAACACAGCUAGUACUUCAUUUGUAGCACAGCAGUCUUCAGAUCCAGUCUCUGUAAAUGUUUCUGCUAACAAGGAUGUAGUUAAUGACGUUAAUAAUCCAGUGGUUAGAGGUGGUGUCUCUCAAGUCUCUCACGAGACAGUGCAUCAAAGAAGUUCAUCCCCUCAGGAGCAUGUGAAUUUCAGUUCUGGGGAAAUUUCUGUUGAGAAUCACACUAGUGCAUUCAUAUCUAUCCAAAAUUCUUCCAACUUUGUUUCUCAAGGUUCCAACUCAGCAGCAACUUCUCAAGGACCAGAAGAAGAACCAUGUCGUGAGACAAUACCUUCAGGUUUAGGUAUUCUUGUAUCCAAUCGGGAAAGAGGAACAGGAAAUGAUAGUGUGCUUCAAGUUGACGUAGUCACAAUAUCUUCCAACAUUUUGUCUGGAAGCAAUGCCGAUGCCAAUGAUCAUGACGCGAGAAGGAAUGGUAGAAGAUUAUUUUGGGAUGCUUUUUCACGGCGUAGUUCUAGAAGGCUUGGUGACUCUCCAACCAUUGUCUUCUCUACUGGAGGUGCCGAUGAUCCUGGAUCUCAAGAUCGAUGGCUAGUUGAUUUCGGUGGUGAUUUGUCAAAUGAUGGAGUUGGAGGAGCUUCUGCAUAUAUGGGCAGCAGAAUUCACAGAUUGAAUGAACGAAGAAUGCGGCACUCAAGAUCUGAGGUGAUUUUGAAAAUUUGGAGCCUCAAACUGCUUAUAUCACCUACUUGGAUUUGUUAUCUGGGUUCAUGACCCCUUUCAUGUUGCUUAAGCUGUUUGAUUACUUUUAUAGAUCUGGGAUAGGCUUCGUGGCGGUUUUGACGAGAUUGGGCGAUGGAAUUCAUGUCCACUAGGACUCCAUGCAGAUGGCAUGUGCUCAUGUGAGUCUUCUCCAAUGGCUGAGGAAUCAAGCACUCGAGCAAGUAUUUCAAGAAUAGUCAUGCUGGCCGAGGCUUUGUUUGAGGUUUCAACCUUCUCUCGUAUUUACUGUUUGCUACUAGUUUUUCUUGCACUGUUUAAACUCUAUACAUCUUAAAUUUUAGUUUUGGUAGUGCUGAAAGAAGUCAUCUGGUGUUGUGGAUUGCAGGUUUUAGAUGAAAUCCAUCGGCAACCGGGAUCACUGUCUCUAUCUAUGGUCUCACUCCCUGCCCCUGAAUCAAUUGUUGAUUCCUUUCCCCUGAAAUCUCACAAAAAGGUUGAAAUGGCUGAUGGAGGCAAUGAUGUUGAACAGUAAGGGUCAUAAUCCUAUAGUUGUGACAAUCAAGUAUAUGUUUUUUUUUUUUUUUUACAAUUUCUCAAACAUUAGUUUUGAAUAUGAUAGAUGUUACAUAUGUCUGGCGGAGUACGAAGAAGGGGACCAAAUACGAGUUCUUCCUUGUCUCCAUGAGUAUCACAUGUCAUGUGUGGAUAAGUGGCUUAAAGAAAUACACGGGUACUGUCAUUAUAACCAAAACUGGUAUUCUUUUAUCAUUCUUUUUUAGAUAAUAACUUCUCUACCAUUCCUCUUAUGCAGUGUAUGUCCUCUGUGCCGUGGCAAUGUCUGUGGAGGGUUCACUGAGUCUUCUGCCAACUCAGAAGUGCAAUCUCACUGAAAUUGUACAUAAAAUGUAAAUAUUUAAAUUUAGACCAAGCUUCCAUUUGGGUCCUCUUAAAGAUACAAACUUGACAUCAACAUUGUUCAAGCUAUUGUCAUACAUAAACUUCACCAAGAGACUGUUUUGGUGUCACCGAAAAUCUCCAAAGGACUAAUUUGACAUCACAGAUCUUUAAGAGACUAAAUCAAUACGAACUAUACCUUAGAAUAGCUAAAAACAAUGGCUUAAAGCAUAUUCGGCCACUGCCAAUGAUAUGCAUAAAACAUUUUUAGAGUCUGGAGUACAAAGUCAGAUUUUUAUGAUCAUCCCGUAGUCUUAUUUUUCUAGCACAUAUUCAUAUGACACAGCUGAUUUAUACUGUGUCUGGAACUUUAUUUUUCAUUUUCCAUUCAUUGAACCGAAGGAACAAAACAAAAGGGAAUGGAGUUUGUCACUUCAAUAGAAAACUAAAGAAUGGAAAAUUAAUGUGAUGAUUUUUCAGUUUUGUUCUUCAUUUAUGGGAAAACAUAAACACAGUUCUGGUCCAAAUUUUAAUUAAUCAAAAAAUAUUUUCUGAUACUUUUUAAUUAUGUAUGUGCAUUUCACAGGCUAUUUCUGUAAUUAGUUAAACUUUUCCUUCAAUCUUCUAAAAGUUAUAUAUCUGCAUUUUCUUUCUAUACUUAAUUUUAUCAAUUGUUUGUCCUUUUGAGUUUCUGCUUUUCUAUAUUUAUCCCUAAAUUUAAUCUUUUUUUUUUUUGUAAAGAAUUUGUGAAUCGUUAACAAUAGUCUUAUUUUAAUUAUAAAUUGUUCAUCCGAAAAGGAAAAUGACUUAAAUAUUCAAAGAUAUUCAUUUAUUUAAAAUAUCAAUUAUAUAUAAAACAUCAUCGGUCUUAUACAAUAAAUGUAUUAGAAUAUGUUAUAAAACCUUAAACUUUAUAAACUGUUCAUUGCAAAUAAAAAACAUAAUUUUUAUGUUCGAAGAUAUUUGUUAUAAAAAAAUAUAUAUAAUGCAUAAAUUUUAAUAUGCUGCACUUUUAAAUGUGUAUUAGAAGUUUGAAUGGGACAAGUUUUACAAUGAUGAAAUAAUUAUAUCCUAAAUUAACAAAGUAAUCUUUGGUUUAUCACCAGAAAUGCAGGAUUAUAUAGAGUAGAAACAUUGAUAGCCUUGGCUGAAAGUAGGUUAUCGACAAUAGAGACAGUAAUUACAAAUUAUAGGUUUUUUUGUCUCAAAUACAACGGAUACUCUACGGACGAGCUUCGUAGAGAGGAAGCAUGAUCCAGACCUUAAACUAAGCAAAACCAUGAGAAAAUGGAUUGAUGUUACUGCUGCGAACUGAGUUUGCACGGUGCCCAAAAGGGUUUGGGUGAGUGUUUUCGUCAUUGUCAAAUGUUGUUGUUGUCCAGCGCCUAGAGUUGCUGUGUCGUUCUCUAGCAACGUUCCGCAUGUUCUCCAUUUCCGCAACAUGGUCUUUGAAUUCUUUCUUCACAACGUCCAGCACAACAUCACCAUAUCGGUCACACCAAGAUCUUCAAUUUCAAAAUUACAUAAAAUCAAGUUAUCCAGUGCUGAAAAUUCAACGUUUUCAACGUAUAUGAAGAGGGGUUUGUGUUGUUGACUCACUUGGGAAAGUAGUUUUUCAACUCAGCCUUGUCCACUGGAAUUCUGGUAGAAAUUGCUUCGAUCUGAUCAUUACUGUUUGUACAAGUAACUUGUCAAGUUUCAUAUUUAACAAAAAGCUAAGAAAAAUGAAAUACGUAUGAGAUUGUACUAACGAAAAUUUAAGAUGUGGGUUUGUGCUGCUGAGUUCUGUCUGAAUUCUAGACAACUCCUUUUUUAUCUUGUCUCCCAAAACCUGUUUAUGGUGUACAAAAGAUUUUGCAUUACAUGCCUAAAAUCAACUGAAUAAGGAAAUGAGAUUCAUGGAUCGAAAGGAAGGGAGGAUUGUGAAACCUUAUCUAUGAAAAAAUCAGAUGGAGAACCAUCAGAAUGCAACUUCUUCUUCAUUAACUUGGUGUCUGGUCCCUCCCCAAAUCCCUUUGCAAAGGGACCUGAAAAGGCCUCAUUAUCUGACCUCUCAUUAUGUGACAAAGAACAUGUCUCAUCUUCUGACUCAUUUCUCUUCCAUUUCUUGAAUCCUUCAAACCCCCAUUGCUUUUUGACCGAUUUCCCUGAUCUUUGACCUUGCUCAGCAUCACCACCACCAUGUGUCCCUUUUUGCUCCUUAUGAAACAAAGACCUAAAUGGUUUCCUCUUUAACUUCUCCAAACCACUACUCUCCUUAACUGCUUCUGGAGGCUCACUUUCCUCCAUAAGAAUUGAACCUCCUUCACUCUGUGCUCCCUUUGUUUGACCAUCCCAGAAAGGGUUUUCAUUUUUUGCAGACAAAGAAGGUGAAUCAAAUAUGCUCUUUUCUGUCCCAUUUUUCCCAGCUCUGCCAAAGCCAAAAACCGAGGCAGCUCCUUUAAUCUGCUUCAUCGAUGAUCCCUGAUUAGAUCUGCUCUUACAACCCAAAUUCUCUUUGUUCACAGAGCAUUUCUCAUCCUUCAAGUCAAUCACCGACCACUCUUCUUCCAAAUUCUCUUUUGACUCCUUAGUCUUUGCCACUAUCACAUCCCUGGCUUCAAUCUGAGCUCCUUGAGCCGCCAGCCUCUGAAGCAAUGGCCUCUUAGAAGAAUGGUAUUCCUCUUCAGAAAUGCACUUCGCAUACAGAAGUUCCUGGUGACAAAGAAAAAUCCAAGUUUCAACAAACAUUUUGCAAUAUUGAUAGUGAAUUUUAACUUUGUAAAAAUGCAUGUUUUAAUGUUUCAUAUAACCCAAAUAAUUACCUAAACUAUUUCAUUCAAAAUCAAUUCUAGAUCUAUAAUCAAUGGCUCAACACAAAAUCAAAUAUGCGAACAUUUACCUAAAACCACUCUAAACCUGAUACUAAAUUAUCUAUCGUGAAUCCAAACUGAAAAAGAUCCAAAGAUUUGCUUUCUUUCAUUGAAAAUUUACUCUGAUUCAAACUGACCUGGAGAAAGAGAAGCUUGUCUCUCACUAUAACAGGGUGUUCUUGUUCUGGAGGAGAAACAAUGAGGGUGUCUAGCAAGUGAAUUCUGAAGGCAGAAACCUCAGAUUCAGCCACAAUGCCUUCUUUGUGGAGACCCAUCAAGUUUAACACCUGGUGGAAAGAGUCUUGCUGCCAUUUAAGGUUGUCCGAUUGCAACUUGGACAAUUUGUGUUCUGCUGCAGGUAAUGGUCGUUUCUUGAAGCUAAAAGGAAGAAUGGUCUUACACAGCGAGGUGAUGGAGUCAUGGAGGGUUGAGUAGUAAGUGGGCGUGUAAUAGGAGUACACCAUUAUGGAUUGAUGAAGUUACAAGAAAGUCUCUGAACAGAGAAUGUGACUUUUGUGGCAAAAGAGUGAUGAUGUUUUUAGUUUUGUAGAAGUUGAAGAAGGUGUCUGAAAUUAUGAAUUCCUCAGAUUUUGAAUUUUCGAAGAAUACUAUAAACAGCCACUUCAUGCUACAAUUACAAACUAGCCGUUGUGAAUGUGAAAGAAACACCUAUGCAUGUGACCAGUCCCAAUUUGUUCUCAUUAAUUAUUGUUUUCCUUUUCAUAAUGGAAUAAAAAUAAGUUAUUUUUUACAUUGUUUUACUGAAAAUAAUAUUUUUUUAAAUUUUUUUUACAGCAUUUAAUCAAAUUUUUUUACUGUUACUAUCUUUUCCUUUUGGUUGACUGCUUCAUGAAAAUAUAUAUAUAUAUAUAUAUAUAUAUAUAUAUAUAUAUAUGCAUUUUUUAUACAUGUAAGAUACAUAAUAUAAUUAUCAAUGAAUAUGAGAUAUUAUUUGUGAAUGGGGGUAUCUUUUAAUAAAACUUUUGUUUUACUUAUUAAUAAAUAUAUUGAUUUGCUCUUUAUAAUAACUCCGCCAUUUUUAAAAUAUUACACAUCAGUAAAACUUUUGUAUUACUUAUGGAAAAUUCAUUUAAAAAGUAACAAAGUUAUAAUUAAAUUCAUAUAUUUAUUAAAUAUUAAAAUAAAAUAUGAUAAACUAAUUUUGAAAGUACUAAUAUUAAUAGAAAUCAAAUUUAUAAAUUCCAAAAUCUUAUGUAACUCUUAUAGUUCAUAUUCUAAUGUUUCAUUAUUUGGAAGUAGGGGUGAUAAAAAAAAUCAAGUUUAGCAGUUAAUCCGAUGGAUAAAUUAAAAAAAAAAAAAUGUAUCAAGAUAGUAUUUUUAAUUCGAGUGUUUGAACCAACUCAGUCUACUAAGUGGGUCAAGUUGGAUCAACCUGGUUUCAUUAAAAAAAUUAAAUUUAUAUCGUGACAUUUUAUAUUAAAAAAGUUUAAAUUUUCUGAAAUAAUGAUAAAUAAAUUGAACAGUGAGUUCUAUAUUGUCAAAAACCUACGUGGAAACUACCAAACCCAUAUUUUUCAACCAUCUCGAACAUAAAAACAAAUAACACAGCAUAAAUUUGAUGCAAUCAAUCUAAGAAGUGGUACAACAUCUUCACAUAUUUUUGGAUAAUUUGCUUUUUUCUCUUUGUGGUAAUGAAAAUCUGAGAAACUAAAAAGAAUAAAUUUCAUCUUAAUUUGGUUUGCGUUGGUCGGAGAAAGUAUCGAAAAAGGCUUUUGCUUUGUGGUGUGUUUUCUGUUCUGAGAUAUGCUGCAAACUUCUGAUCUAAUCUGCGCUUGGCUUCCAGUGCUGCUACUCCCAGAUUUUCAUCUGGGUCUGUCUGAUUCACCGUGUUCCUUUCCUGAUUCAAUUCAAACAUCAAAUCCCAUUAAUCACAGACAGAGAGGGGGAAAAAGAUACGAAAAAUAAGAAAUAAAAGUGAUACGAACCAAUAGAGAGAAAGAAGAAAGAGGAGAUUGGAGCUUCCUGUUAGCAUACAAACACAGAGAAGAACCACUGAUGAAAUCACGAGAAGAACCGUUGCUAUGCAAUCGUCUUCUUCGAGCACUUUCAACUCCUGGAAGCAUGCCAGACAUGAUUUCGAUUGCAACAAUGCUGUCAAACAACUUCUCUCUUUCUUCAAAUCUAAUCAAAUCUUAAUAACGACAAUAAAUACAAGAUGGGGUUUCGUAAGUUUCUAGGAAACCAAGGACCGCUGUCCUCGAACUUUCCUUGCACCUUCAUUCUAUAUGUGCUGUCCACCUAACUAGUCAGACUAAUAUAAUACAAUAUUAAUUAUUUAUAAAUGGUUACUAUUUUAUAAAUAAGUUGUGUGAUUUUUUUUAAGAAAUUUUUUCUAAAAAGUUGUGCUUUUACAACAUUUUAGUUAAUGUAAAUUGAAAAGCUAACUAGAACUUGAAACAAUUUUUGGUGAAGUUAAAGUAAUUCUACAUUAAAAGAAAUAUUUAUUGAAGAGACUUUCAAUAAGAGCUGCUCCUUAUGAAAAAAAAAAAAAAAAAAAUAAGAGAAAGCCAGUCAAUUACAUUUGGGCGAAAAAUUCGGUCCAGUCUUAAAUCAAACUAUUCACGAAAACAAGGCCCGUUAGGCCCACUCUAAACUGAAUACUUUUUGAGUUGGAUUUCAUUUCCCUCACGAAUCAUGUAUAAAUUUCUACAUUUCAAAACCUCUUGUCAAUAAAAAUACAGAGAACAUUUCAUGUCCAUCAAUGAUCUACUUGGUUAUAAGAUAAAUGAACUAAACAAUAUUAAUGAUACAUUGGUUCGUAUUAAGUCUAAUCUUCAAAGAAUCAUGCUAUUAUAUAAAAAAUAGAUAAAUAAUGAAAUCUCUUAGAAUUAUUUUUCGCCAACAUUUUAAAGAUCUUACAUAUGAAAAAUAUUUUUAAAAUAUUUUUAUCACUUAAAUAAUUUUAAAAGAUAAUUAAAAAUAAAUAUAUAAAUAUCUUACCAAUUUCUUUUAUCUUUUUAUUAUAUUUAAUUUUAUGUUUUAUUAUUUAUAAAUAUUAAAUAUUAUGUUUUAUAAAAAUAAAUAAAAGUUUACCUAAUUUAAUUUUCAUACAUUUCUAAUUAUAUACUCCAAUUAAUUUUAAAAAAGUUUAAAAAAAUUUGGGAGACAUGGCCCCUCUUGAAUAUCAUAUAUAAAUAAUUUUUUAUUUGUUCUUAUGUUAGUAAAGCAACAUUGAUUAUUUAAAAUAAUUUAUUAUUAAAUAGACAUAUGAAAGUAAUUAAAAUUGAAUCGUUUAUUUUAAACCGAAAAUAAAUUACGAUAAAAAUAUGAUAAAAGAAAAAGAGGGCAGCCUAAUAAAUUUGCAACACACUUUGAUGCCAAAAAUGAAAUACAUGAACGAGGAAAUGAAGAAAGGUAGAGAAGGUAAUCAUUAAUAAAUUAAUUGAAUAACUGAUUUUAUUUUAUUUGGAUGACAUACUUCAUUGAGAAAUCUGGAAUAGAACUAUGAUUGAACAUAUUUACUCAAAAAUAAAUAAAAUUAUGUGGAUUUUUUUACUCAAUUUCUGAAAUGUUUUCAAUUUGAAUGAAACAAAUAAAAAGUUUUUGCUAAACUUAUUAGAAAAUAUUCAAAAUUAAAAAUAUCAACAAAAGAAUUUAACAUAAAACUACUUUUAUAAGACGAUGAUGUUUUAAGUACACAUGAACGAAAAAAGGUUUUGAGAUUAAAAUUUAAGAACAAAUUGAGUAAAAUAUAUGAUAAAAAAUGUAAAAAAAAAAACAGAGAGAAAAAUUAUAAAAUGCAAACCAUUCAACAAUUUAAAUUUAAAUAUAACAUGCAAUGAAAAAGGAUAAAAUAAUGAAUUACGAAGGAGAAGAAAUAAAAAAUUGUAUGUAGUAUAUAAGAAGUCACAGUUUCUUUUUAUCAUUUUUAUGUUUGGCUUUUACAUUUUAUUUUAUGUUUUAUUGAAUGGUUUUCAUCAUACUAUUAGCUUAAUAUAACUUCUGUCUCAAUUAAUAAACGAAUAACUUAUGAUGUUUAGAAUGGUAUACUUUUUUUAAUGACUUGAUGAAUCCAAAUAUAAUUUUCUUAACCACCUAAUUACAUACGAUAUGAAACAAAGUUAACAACUUUCAGCUUAGAUAAGAAGUAUAAAAUUUUCCUAAAAUUUUCUAAAUUUUUCAGAAUAGAAAGUUCAAAAUAUUCUACCACACAGUACAUGUAGAUAUACAUAUAUUUCUAAAUAUUUCUAAUAUCAAAAUAUGGGACAUCCCUUGCAUCUUUUACAUCUCUAAUAUCUAUACUAUUGGACACAACAAUCUUAUACAUUAUCUUCUAUUCGUGUGCAUGGCAUGAUCUUGGCAGAUGGACAACAAACCACAAACAAUACAUAAUUGUAAGCUUAUUUACUUUUAUAAGUUUCAACAUAUAAAGAUUAUAAUUAAAACAAAUUUUAACAAAUUGAUCAUUAGAUUUUUAAAUCAUUUAAUUGAAAGAAGCAAUUUGUUAAGUAAUUGACAUUAUCCAAAUUCAAUCUAUGGAACAUAUAUUUUAAUACACGUUAAGUUACGUACCUAUCUUAAUUUUCUAUAAUAGACUCUAGCAAAAUAAUUAUUGUGACUUCACUUGGUUUACAUAUUAUGACAAAGUUAAUUCUUUUUUUUUAUCGUCAAAUUGAUUAUACUCCAAACCAAAGUCUCCUUAUAUAAAUCUCAUUCAACUCUCAUUAUCCAAACUUCAGUCUUCAUAUGAAUUUAUGAUUUUAGUAAAGUUAAAAUUACUCAAAAUCAAGACUUACACUCAGUGCAUAUAUAACACGCAUAAACGAAACAAUGCUACUUAGUCUUAUUUUCAUUCAUAACAUAACAUACAAGAAAAAUCUUCAUAUAUCAUAAAACAUCAAUAAUUCCAAUAUUCAAAACCUUAAACACAACACAUUCACACUAAGCGUAGGAAGCAACACCCAGUGUCUACAAGUUGCUGAGAUUAUUACAGCUCUUUGUCAAAUGAGUGCUUAACGAUCCUUGUAGCAUUGAACGCCAAAUCCAUUGAAGCUUAGUAUGAAGUGAGUGUCCAAUGAUGUUUAGACAGCAUCCAACCCUAAGAACUCCUAAAACUCAUUGUUUAGAGGACACUAAAAAAUACUUUAGUGGCACUUGGUGUUAUGAACCCUUGGAGCUCGAUACUGAGAGGAUGUCUGAUAAUACCCAAGCUAUCCUCAACCCAAUAUCAAUAACUAUAUUUCAAUUUUUAUGAAACUAUAAUUUGAUUCAAUAGGCCAUCUAAGUAAGUUUUCCUUUCUUGAAAUUUUAAAUAAGUUUCAAUUUUUUUCAAAACAUCUGGAUAAUAUCAUUUAACCAAUUUGAUAACAUCAUCCUUCAAAAAUUCAUAUUUAAAUCACAUUUCAAAAUCAAUUAAGAAAUCAUUCAAUUCAUUCACACUCAUCAAUCACACACAUAUUUCUACUUGAACAAAACAAAAAAUAAGUUUUUUUUACUUUUAAAAUAAUUCUCUUAGAAUUAAACUAUUUCUUAAAACUCUAUUUCUCACACGAUAAUCUAAUUAUAUGAAGAAAACUUCAAUUAAAAAUAUAAGUAUAAUCCUGUUAUAUAAGACAAACAUAUAUGAUAAUCAUUUUAUCUCAAAGAAAUGAAAAAAGAGAUUAAAAUUCUGAAAAAAAAGUUCACAUAAAAUUUUGAAAAAUAAUAUUUUUAUAAAAUAAAACUCAAUUAAUACAAAUUUAAUUUAUAAUUUUGACGUUUUAUCAAUAAAAUAAUCAAAAUUUAUCUUUUAAAAAUACAUUCUUAUAUUUUGAACCUUUUAUUAAUAAAAUAAGCGAAAGCAUAUUUUUAAAUUAACACUAGACUAUUUGUUAAGUUUAUACAACUCUUACUUUAAUACUUAUAAAAAUGUUUUUAUAAUUUUAUCUAUACUUGUAUUAUUAUUAUUGGCCGGUUUAAAAUGGAAUUUAAUUGUAAUAUUUUAUUAUUCUGAAAAUCCAAAUUGUUAGUAUAGUUACAAUAAUUAAGUAUUGAAUUUUAUAGUUUUGGGCAACAGCCCAUUGGAAAUGGUGUCAGAGUAGAGAGACAUCAACCUUUUGAAUAAGAAAAAGGUUGUUCUGACAGAAAAAGAAUCUUAAAAGGAAAAUGGGUAUAAAAGAGUAUAAAGGCGAAAAGAAAAAAGCUUUUCCACUAUAGACAAGUCUUGGAUAAACGUUAUGAUUGUGCAAAUGCAAUCUCAUACUAAUUUCUGAUGGUCAAGAAUACGAUGUUUCCAUAUACUAAUUGACGUAAAUAGCCUCCUCAAAAACGCGUUAGUGCGUCUCUCUUCCCAAGAUGCACACUUCUUUCCCGUGACCACCCUCUGCAACCUCUCUGUCCUUUAUCGUCAUUUUUUCUCUACGCUCUUUCCCUCACUCUCACCUAUUUAGUUAUCUUUCGUAUUCUCUCUUCGUUGCGUUACACAACUUUCAUCGCUCUCUCGCUCGUCUUCAUGGCGGAAGAAGAAUCCACACCUGGAUCACCUCACUCUUUCAAGAACAGGCUCAGAUUCUCCCUCUGUUUCUCCUGCUGCUUCCCUCACACGCGCGUCAGGCCCAAAAUCGUUCGGAGCGCGUCUCUCCACAACAAGCCUCGCACCUCCGAUUUCCCCUUCCCGCACCUGAAGGAAAAGUGCUGCAACUUUAUCAACCGCAUCGGUGGCCGCCACCGCCGCCGCCACUCCGCUGACUUCCAAUACGACGCGCUCAGCUACGCACUCAACUUCGAAGACGACGCCUCGGACGAGAGGUCCGUCGACGAACUCAAGAGCUUCUCCGCCAGAUUGCCGGCGUCUCCGCCGCCGAAGACCUCACCGUAACCAUCUCAACGUGAAUCGGCGGUUGCAGCGAUAGAUCUGAGAAUGCGACGACAGGAAGCGAAGCGGCGGUUGCGGCGUCGUUUUGGAAUAGUUUUUGUCCUGUUGUUUAAUUCGCUUUUUUGUAGAUAACGUCAUCGUGAGAUCCACCAACGGAAAAGUGCAAUAUGCAAAGAAGAGGAUCAUGAAAAGGCAAAAAAUAAAAAAUAAAAAAAAGGUUAAGAGUGCGAAAGUGAUGAUGAUGGCGUGUUUUUUCACUUCCACCCUCACUGUUUUGUUUGUUAGUGUUGGAUAUUUUUUGUGCAUUGAAAUUUGAGAAAACAUUGUGAACUCUGAAGCAGAGAUAUGGCGGAUUCCUAACUGAAUCUCUGACAGAUGACGACACUAUUCUCUUUUGUCUUCUUCUUGUUGCAAACGGUUUUGGGGACUUUGCCAGACUCGGAUUUCCAUGAUUUAUUUCUUUCAUUUUUUUUUCCUGAAAAAUGCUUUCCCCACCAAUCGACCAUAUUUUGUAGUUAUUAAAAAAACUGAGAAUAUUUUUUAGGAAAAUCGUAAUUCUUUUGACACAAUCUAAGAAUAGUAUUUUGUUAAUCCCUUAAUAUGUAAAAAUAGAAAAAUUAUUAUACACGAUAAGCAUUAACCCAGGUUAAAAGAUUGUAAUUAAGGUGACGCACUUUAAAAUUUUAAGUAUUGUAAUUUCAAGUUUUCUUUAUCACCCUUAAAAAAUGUCUUCAAUCACACUUGACUUCAUCAGAUAAACACCGAUUCAGUGAACAUGGGUGGCAAAUACCGAUUAAACUUUCGAACAAAAUGGUGAUUGAUGAACGAUGCUGUUGAAUAACAAGGCUAACUGAUUUAACUAUUUUUUUAAGGAAAAUGUUCAACGUAAACUUUUAAAUAAUAAAAAAAUGGAAAAAAUAUCUAUAUAAUUUAGAAAAUAUUUUUUUUUUCAAUCAAAUCUUGUGUUUUUAACAUUAUUUGCUAUCAAUAAACUAGUUACUUUUCAUUAAUGUAUAUGUUUUGGUUAUAAUUCAUAUGGUCCCUAAUAGUGAAUACACAAUUAUCCCAUAAGUAUAAACUAUAUAAAAAUACAAGUGGCUGGUUUUUAUAAUGUAAAUAAAUAAAUAUUAAAUUAUAAAAAAAAUUAUUUGAUGUACACUAAAUAUAUUAUUAUUGUUAUUAUCUUAACUAAAAUUAUUUAUAUAAAUUAAUUUUAUAAAAUAAAUUAUAUAAUCUUCUCUUAAUUAAAUUUUUGGUGAACCAGCCUCUGAAUCCAUCUAUAACAACAGUGAUAUUUUCCAGUUUAUUAUUCGAAUGCUCUUUCUCUCUCUCUCGUUGCAUUGUAAGAAGCUUCGUAUUUUCAGAGGCUUGUGGUUUCUGGGUUAUCAGUCUGAUGAUACUCAUUGGGCCCAGAAGAGAUUCAUUUCAUUACUCGAUUGCUUCAUUUUGCACCCCGGUAAUUUCUAUAUGCACCUUUAUAGGGUUGUGUGAAAUACCAAAUUAUCGUUAAAUUCUCACUCUUCUCUCUCGCUGCACCUCCUCUCAUUCUUUUAUUUUUUGGAGUUUUGAUAUAAGCUGUGUAAUGCUUCAAAAUUGUUUUUCCAUAAAUUUACUAAAUUGAGUGAUUUGAUAAUAGUUUUUGGAUAGUAUAAUUUUAAAGUGUCCUUUUGAAAAACUUAAUUUUUUAUAUUGUUAAUACAAGAACUUCAACUUAAAAAUUUGUGCCGCUAAAAGUAAUAUAUAUAUAUAUAUAUAUAUAUAAUUAUUUAACUCCAGUCUUAGUUUGUGUUUUACUAAAAGUAAUAUAUAUAUAUAUAUAUAUAUAUAAUUAUUUAACUCCAGUCUUAGUUUGUGUUUUAGUGAAUGGAUGGUAAUAAUGACAUGGGAUUUGAGGUGAUCAGGAGUGAAAUAUCAACUUUACCCUUAAAACAUUUGAUUUAAGGAUGAACAAAAGAUAAAGUUUAAGAUGAAGAAGAUGAUGAAAGCAUAUUCGAUUCCAGAGAGAGUUGGAAUUUAUUUUACCUCGUCUGAGAAAUAAAGAACUCGUAAUCGAUUAUAAGAAAUAAAGUACUCAUGUGAUAUGACCAUAGAGUAUUCCAUUCCAAAGGCAUGGUUAAUCGAUUUCAGUGUGAGUAGGAUUUGAUUUUCAUGGUUUCAACUCUUUUUCUCUCUCCUUAUAAUAAUUUUUACGAUUAAAUAUAUUAUUGAUAAAUAUUAUCUUAUAUUACUUUUACCACUAAGGGCAUUUUGGUAGUUUUUAUUUUCUAUCAAUUAAAAUAAAUUUUUUAUCAGCACAUCGAUCAUUUUCUACACUAACUUGAACAAACUUUUCUUUCAAAUUCAUUUUCAUUCACUUUCAAUUUUUCUUUUAAAAAAAAAAAACACUCAAUUUACUCUCAAAUCUCUUCAAAUUCAUUGACUUUCUCUCUCAUAGAUUCAUCACUCAAAUUGAACACACCCUUAAUAAUAUUGAGUUCAACUCAAUAAUAUAUAAAGAUUUAUGAAAACUUUCAUUUUGUGGUUGAACUGAAAAUUAUGAAGAUAUUUAACACAACAAAAACUUUCAUUUUGUGAUUGAACUGAAAAUUUAUGAAGAUAUUUAACACAACAAAAUAUCUACACUUCCGACAACCACUUUAAGGGUAUGCAAAAUAGGUUUAAUACAUCAUUUGGUCCCUGCUUUUAGGGAUUGGUUCAAAAUGAUCAUACUUUUUAAAAAAGUUCAGUAAGAUCCCAUGUUUCGUUAAAAAAUGUUCAAUAAGAUCCUUUUGCCUCACGACGUUAAAAACAUAACGGUGGAAGUGCCAUUGUGGCCAAAACCGAGUGACCUGUACAAUUUGACGUAUACGUGGCACGUAUGAUAUAUUUGAAUGUGUUAAUUAAAAAUAAAAAUUAUAAUGACGUGACCUAGGUUACCUUGAGUUACCCAAACAGACCCCAAAACCCUAAGUUACGCUUGAAAUACCUCGUCGUCUUUUCCAAUCUCUUCGUCACCUACACCACAACAAUUCCAUUUUCAGGAACCCUAGAAAUGCAAUUCCAGUUCUAGAAAUAAUUAUUAUUAUCUCUGUUGAACUCUAAAGGAAUAAUUGCUGGGAAAACUUGAUGCAGUGAUUAACAAUUGGUAAAAAUUCACCCUCUACAGUGGUACCAAACAAAGAAAAACAAUCAAAAAAUUCUGAGGAAUUUUCAUCAUUUGGGUGCGAUUAAUCUAUAAUACACAAUAUUUAGAGGGGCAACUUUGUUAUCUUAAGAGGAGCUCGUUGUUUUGUUUUUUCCCUUUCCUUUUUGGAUCAGAUGCAACCUUCCCUUUUUAUGUUUCUUGUUUCUUGUCUUCUUUUUCUUAAAUGAUAAGAUUCAUUUGCAAAAUACUCUUGUUGUCAUUGGGACACAACAUCAUCAACAUAGUGAAAUGGUUUGGAUUUCAAUUUAUUGUUGAUGCGUGCUUUUCGAGUUUAAUCCCUGUAAGCCAUAUAUGGUUAUCACUGUCAAUUUGUUGCGAGGGGGUUAGGGUUAAUGCAACUCUGCAACACUAUUGGCUGGAUGUUGGUUUCUGGUUGGUGGCAUAUUUGAUUUGCCUGAAGGUUGCAUGUUCAAUCCAUGCUCAUCAAUUCUUUAUUUCCACAAACUACAUAUUUUCAACAAACAUUAGUCGAACCACCCUUUUCCCGAGACUUUUUACAAUGAGCGAUGACACUCUCAAUUGAAUUCUCCAGCUCGACACUAAUAUUCUUGUCGAACAACUGCAACUCAUAAGAUCCAGCUAAACUGAGUUUUUAAAGCCGUUAUGUUUUUAACGCCGUAAGCCAAAAGGACCAUGUUGAACAUUUUUUAACGAAAUAUGGAGUUUUAUUGAAUUUUUUUAAAAGGUAGGACAAUUUUAAACAAAACCCCUAAAAUUAGGGACCAAAUGAUGUAUUAAACCUUUAAAAUAUUACCACUUUAUAAGGAAUUUCAUCAUUUUUUAAUUUUUUUUCCUUAUUGUAUAAAAUAAAUUUUGAUAUUAUUUGAAAAUAUUUUUUAGUUUUUAAAAUUUAACAAUAAAUAAAUAUAACUUUUUAAUUUGUGAUAUAUUUAUAGAUAUGAUUAAACUUAAAACAGGAUUUAACAUAUAAAAUAAAUUAACAUAAUUGACAAAUAUGAUUAUAUUCAUUUAUUAUUAAAAUCUAGAAUCAAAAUAUAUCAAAAAUUUGUAGUUAAAGAAAACUUCAAUUUCACCGUGUUUAUAUAUUUUCAUUAAUUUUACUACACAUCUUGUCUUGUAGAUAUCUUUCUCACAAUAGAAAUUGAUGUUGGACUCUCAUUAUAAAAAUUAAACUAAAUUAGCUUUUAACCUAACAAGUUGAGAAAAAUGAAUGGCUAACUCAGCACACUUAAAUGUAUCACAUCACAUCACAUUGUAUAGGCAUUAUGAUUUCCAAAAACUAAUAAGAUACUUCUUAUUAGUCUAUUCUUCAUUUUGGUAUAAAGAAGUAGCAUGUGUUGUAAGUCAAUUAAGUGUACAACUUUUUCAAAUUUGAACCUAUGAUUGCCUUUGAGAUAAGUCAUUACCCAUAAGAGUAAUAGAAAAAGAUUGAUUUGUCAUAUUUUGUUUGAAAAUAAACAUCAUUUAUUAACUUUUAUGGAAUGGAAGCUAAUCCUCAAUGCUACCUAAAUACAUGACGCUUCUGUGGAGCCCUUUCUCCACUUUCUUUUUACCUAAACACUUUAAUAAUCUCUAUUCUAUAUUAACUAAUUAAACUUUAUUUCGAAAUAAAUCUUUCUUGAAAAUAAAAAUAAAAAAAGAAAAGAAUUGGAAGAAGUUUGGUUUGGUAGUGACAAAAAGAUUUGGUGGGCCCAUUCCUCUAUUGCUCAAACCAAGGGUCCACGUAAUUAGCCAUGGGUUGGCCCACAGGAUAAAAUAACCCUCAAAACUCGCAAUUAAAAAUUGAUAAUAAAUUAUUAUGAAUUAAAUUUUAUUUGGUCAGGUGAAUUAAAUAAAAGAAAGCGAUUAUUUAAUGAAAUUGGGUCUCCUUCCUCCUCUGACUGUGACGUGUCGUUUUGCCGGAAAAGAUGCAAAUUUCCCCAUUUUUUCCGAUGAUGUAGCAGCAGCGGGAUAGAAGAAGAAGAAAAGAAAAAAAAAAAAAGAAAAAAAAAAAAAAAUUCGCAAAAUAGAAGGCUGAUUUGUGGGGCGAGUGAGACUGAGAAGGGAUUAAUUGCUUACGCUUGUGACCGUUCCUUUUUGGGGACUUCACCGUUUUUUCUCUUUCUCUCUCUUAUUCUCUAUCUAUCAUCACUCUUACUACAACCUUCAAUUUUUUUUUUCGCUCUCAUUUGCCCCCAAUUUUACUAGGGUUUUAAUUCCACUUCUAAUUCACUAAUCAUUAAUUGUUAAUCGUUAAUCCUUAAUCAAUCUCCCACGACAACAUUCAUUCCUCAUUCAUUACUUUCCUUGCGAUCACGACUCGGGCUUUUUUUUAAUUUUUUUUCCAGCCAUGGCGUUUGAUCAGAAUUCGGUUCCAUUGGAUCUUCGUCCGUUGAAUGUGGCCGCCGCGAUAGCGGAGGAGCCGAUGAUUUCGCCGGCCGCACUCACGCCGCCGACUCCUAAUUCUGUCGGCGAGCUUUUCUACCAGCCGGCGGCCUCCGCCGGCACAACGUGGUGCGUCCGCCCCAUUGCGCAUGCCAACGUGAGCCCUGCCGCGGCGUAUGGGUUUAACUACGGCGCUUCCAGCUUUGGCAGUCGCGUCGUGGCCGGGAAUGCUUUGAGUUUGGGGAAGCUUGUGGGGUGUAAUGGAUUGGACAAGGCCUGCAAUGAUGCGAGUGGUUUUAGUUAUGGUGUUGGCGGGGUCCGGGGCGGCAGAGUGGUCGGUAGUGGAAGCGAUCACGGUGGCGGAGAUGAGGGUGGUGGCGGCGGUGACGAUUCGGUGUCCGGGAAGAAGGUGAAGUUUCUCUGCAGUUUUGGUGGGAAGAUUUUGCCUAGGCCUAGUGAUGGAAUGUUGAGAUAUGUUGGGGGCCAAACAAGGAUCAUCAGUGUUAGGAAGGAUGUGAGUUUCAAUGAUUUGGUGCAGAAGAUGGUUGACACUUAUGGGCAGGCUGUGGUUAUUAAGUAUCAGCUUCCUGAAGAGGAUCUUGAUGCCUUGGUGUCUGUGUCAUGUCACGAUGAUAUUGAGAAUAUGAUGGAAGAGUAUGAUAAGUUGGUUGAGAGAUCUUCUGACGGUUCUGCAAAACUAAGAGUUUUUCUGUUUUCUGUUUCGGAGACGGAAGUUUCUAGUGGGAUGCAGUUGGGGGACUUGCAGGAUACCGGGCAGAAAUAUUUUGAUGCUGUGAAUGGGAUUGGUACGACAGAUGCGAUUGGGUUGGGUGGUGGGAUCAAUAGGAAGGAGAGUGUUACAAGUGCUGCUUCAACCCAGAAUUCGGAUUUGAGCGGGGCUGAGACUUUUGAUAGUUCAAUUACUGGUCAAGGGGAUGUCACUGGGGUGCCCUUGUCAUCACCUAAAGAUUAUGUGACAGCAGCUUCCUCCGACUCAAGUGCUAAUAUAGUGAGUUCAGAGGCCAGUGCACCGGCUUCGAUACCAAUGCCUGUGGCUAAGGCUAGUUCAACCCCAUCCCACAACCCUUAUUUUCAGAAUGAGGUUGAGUUAGAAAGGUCUGUCCCUGUUGCUUUGCCCCAGCAGCCUUUUGGAUUGCAGCAAGCUGGAAUAGAAGUUCCAUCCCCUGCACCUUAUUAUCAGACUUGUGUUGAUCCUAGCCAGGAGGUUAUGAACCAUGCGGACUAUGUGCAAGUUACUUCACAGAUGAGGUUCACAAACCCUCAGCUUGUAGGAAAGACCGGGACUGUCUUGAGGCAACAACAGUUUCAUGAUAAUACUCCCGGCUUAGCAUUGCAUCAUCAGGUAAUCCCCGGGGUACAAAUGACUGUGGCCCCACAAUCUUCUCACGCUGGUGUGAGACCGAAUGUUAUUCAACCACAACCGUUGGUGCAAUCACAGCAACAUCUUUUGGAUCAAUACCAUGAUGAAAAUACAUCAGGGGUAAGGAUUAUCCAGCUUCCUGCUGAACCUAGCUACAAUGCUUACCAGGUUCCACCGAGUCAAGUAUCACCUGUCAUAGUUGGAGGUAAUUAUAGCUGGGUUCAGGUUCCUUCACAAGAGCGCGUUGUCAUCUCGGAUGGAGUAUCACCCCAACAACAGGUAACGAGUCAUGAGAAAUUCCGAAGAAUCGAGGACUGUUCUAUGUGUCAGACAAAACUACCGCAUGCACAUUCUGAUCCAGUAGUUCCGGAUGAGCGUGGUAGUGGUGCAGGUUCUGUUCCUGAUUCAACCCCAAGUCACUAUAGCUUCCCAAUGGAGGACAACAUAAAAGCUCAAGCAUCAAAUAUGAUUAUGCCAGUGGCGAUGGCGCCGUUGAGGGAAGGCAUUGCUGAACAAGGGGCUGGGAUCAGACCCAGGGUCGUUGGCAAACUGGAACCUCCUGAUGGAGUGCAUCACACUGAGACCACUGGGCUUUCUCAUAAUACUGAGCCACAGCCGGAAGAAUUUAUUCAUGCCGGGAAUUCAUUUUUCCAGGAAAAAAUUGAAUUGAAAGGUAGAAAACAAUCUCCAAAUGAUGAGCACAUGGGAACAGCAGCACUGUCUUAUUUAGAUGAUGUUGGCCACCAACACAUGGUACCAGUUGAAAACUGGGUUAAACAGGAUGUGCUUAUUAACAAACCUAUGAAUAAUGAUAUGUCUAUGGUCGAUGGAACAUCUAUGCGAACUUCAGAGUGCAUGGUUCAAGGAUCUCCAAAUGAAUAUACUAACGAACGUACUGGGGUUGUUUCUAAAUCAGAUGAGAUACAUAAUUGGAUUAGACAAGACCAUCUAAAACCAAUUGAUGGAAGGAUGGACACCUUCAAGAUACAGAAUUCUGAUGCUUUUGUAAGUAAUGACUACUCUUUUCUGCCAGCUGAUAAACCCAGUGGGAAUGAUAAUUUAGGUUACAGCACUCAUAAAUCUGUAGAGGGAGAGGUGAUUCUGGAUAACUUUGGCAGGUCAAAGUUGAUAGUUGAUGCAAAUCAAAAUAAUAUUGCAGCUGUGCUGCCUUGUUCUUCUUCAUCAUACAGGCAAAAUUCCAGGUCAGGGGAACACAAUGAGGCUACACAACCCCCUAUUUGGGGCAUUCCCGGCUCAAAUCCUCAACCGAAUAUUGGAAACCCCCAUACCGAAGACGCUGCACUAUCUUCAUCAUCUCCAUCCGUCAGGUUUGGAGAUGUGCAGGAUACUCCGAACUCACUGUUCAGUAAUCAGGAUCCAUGGAAUAUACAGCAUGGUACCUUCUUUCCACCUGGUAGACAAAGCAAAGCUGCAUUGAAGAAAGAAACCUUUUCUUGCCAGGAUCCCUUUGCUGAGGAUACUGGUAGCUUUGGGGAACAAAGUUUAGAAGCACAAUUGGAUGAUAGCCUCUAUCAGUCGUUCAAACAAAAUUUAACUUUAGAACAUAGUCGGUCAGCCAAAGGUCCGUAAAUUGUCGAAGUCCUAAAAUAAGUUAUUUUGUUGCUGAUAGACUGUAAUGGAUCUCAUAUCAUGUACUCUUUAUGUCUUGGCUUCUUCAUUGAAGGUUCAGCAGAAGACCAACAACUCCAAGCUGUUGCGGAGAAUGUAGCUGCCUCUGUUUUGCACUCAAGAAAUCCUUCAAAUUCUGACUUGCAUUCCACAGAUGUUUCCUGCUGUGAUAACAUUGAGGAUGACAGUGUUCAAAAUAAUUUUAUGGAUGUAAAGUGUGGACAUACAACUCAGGUGAUUUUGUCCACAUAUUCCUCAGUGCCUGUAGUAUCUUUUGCCUUGUAAUUUACAGAAAAAGAUCAAACAAUUCUGUAUGCCACCCUCCUCUAAGAUGAAUUAUUAUGAUAUUAUUUUGUUUUCUCCUUUUAGGAGGUCUGGAGCAGGCAACUAGAAAAAACAAAUUGUGGCAUUCUAGCAUCAGGUUUUGGAAAAUUACAGGUUCGAUGUCUUUCGCCUGUUUCCCUUUAUUCUUUUAUGUUGUCAGCGCAGCAGAGCUAACACCUUGUUGGGAAACUUUACUAGGUGAUAAAGAACUGUGAUCUUGAAGAACAGACAGAACUUGGUUCUGGUACGUUUGGGACCGUAUAUCAUGGAAAAUGGAGGGGCACUGAUGUUGCAAUCAAGCGCAUUACUGAUAGAUGUUUUGCUGGAAAGCCUUCGGAGCAAGAGCGCAUGGUUUGUGUCUCUUUAAUUGUUCUGUUUUCCAUUUUCUCCAACUCUCUUCCAUGACCUAAGAAUUAACUUCAGAAUGAUUCUCGGUUGAUGCAUCAAACAGAGAAAUGACUUCUGGAAUGAGGCAAUCAAGCUAGCUGACUUGCACCAUCCAAAUGUGGUAGCUUUCUAUGGUGUUGUGCUUGAUGGCCCCGGGGGUUCUGUGGCAACAGUUACUGAAUAUAUGGUUAAUGGUUCCUUAAAAAAUGCCUUGCAGAAGAGUGACAGGUAAUUUCUGCAUAUAUUCAUGGCCAUGUUCCUUUUUUGACUAUUAGUUAUUGCAUUGCCCUGAUUUAAUAUGUUUCCUUAUUGAUAAAUGCUUGAUGCUAAUGUUAUCAUAUUAGGAAUCUUGAAAAGCGCAAGCGACUUUUGAUUGCAAUGGACGUGGCCUUUGGCAUGGAGUACUUACAUGGAAAAAACAUAGUACACUUUGACUUGAAAAGUGACAACUUGCUUGUUAAUCUCCGAGAUCCACACCGACCAAUAUGCAAGGUUUAAAUGGUUUAUACUGAUGUUGACAUAUCAAGAGUCUUGUUCCGUUGCAUCUUAUUGUGGGGGUAGAUAUGCAUUCAGUAUUUUGUAUGAGAUAUGCUAGAUUAUGCACAUUUUUUUCAUAUAUGUUCAGGAUUUUGGUUCAUAUUAAUAUCUGCCCAUGAUUAAAGUCUUUGGAAUAUACUAAAGUUUGCUGCCUUUAGUUUGAUUUAAGGAAUUUGACCCAUCAAAAGUACUAAAAUAUUGUUUAUGAUAUUUUUAGAUUGACUUUGUCUAUGAUCUAUAUAUAUGUUAACCAGACAUAGGUAAUAUAAUUGGCUGUGCUGAAAGUUUAUUCUGGCAUCAUGUGAUUUCUACGAAACAUUGAUACUUUAAUUUGCGAUGAGUAUUUGUAUUUGAUGCCAAUACGCUUGGAUAGUUCAACCAUAAAUAUUAGUCAAGUAUCCAAGCCUUUAAAUCAACUUAUGAAUAUCCAUAACCAUAUGAGAUAUAGAAGUGUGCAAUAUAUAGAAACAAGUAAAAAUGGUUGCUUGAUGAACCACGGAUAGAAAUCAUUCCUCUUUUUGAAUGAGAUUGAUAAUACUAUUCCUAUUUGUAGACAAUAAGAAGUGAUUUAUGAAGCCGAUUACUUUAUUUUGUUUGUACUAAUGUCCAGAAGUAUGUUUAUAAUUUGGAUUUCAGAAUUACCAUUAUAUAUUAUGGUUUAAUUUUUACAAUAUAAUGGAUAUGUACCUUACACAUGUCAUAUCUUAUAUAUUGUUUUGAAUAAUUAUAUUUGUUGUAUAGACCAUGUUUUAAAUGAGUGCGUCGCAGAUGACAUAAGUGAAACUUAAUAUGCAAAAGUAGAAAGCAAUAAAUUAGUUAGAAAUCUAUAGCAUUAUUUUUGGAGGGAAAUUAGUGAUUGCAGAUUUCCACUCCAGUAUUUGGGAUGGGUAUCAUGAACACAAAACAGAGAAUAAUGGGUAUUCCUUUGAAGACGGGUCAUCAACUUGCAGAUGCUGAUGCCCCUCACUUAAAACUAAGGAUAUAACUUUCACCUAUGAAUUUGUAGGACUGGCUUUUCACCCAAGAUUAUCCAUUGCGUACUAGUUGGUAUCACUUUGCCUCUCGUCGGAAAAAUGAUGUUUACCAUUGAAAGUCAUGGCUCCUUGGCUCUGCUGUAAUUUCUCUGAUUGAUAUUUUCGAUGCUCUUAUGUCUGCUGAUUCUGUUCUCUUGGUAGUUUCCGUGCAUGGAUAAUUUUACCCUCUUGGGGGUUGAAGAGUAAAUUAUCUUUUAUAUCAUAAGCCAUUAGCAUAUUCGUGUGUUGCAUUAGCAUUUAAAAUGCUUACAGUUUGUGGUUUUCUUGAAAAUAACCUAACUUGCUCAUCUUCAUUCAUACUCAUGGCUUAUUUCAUACCUGGUGACGUUUUGGUUGGAAAUCUCCAUAUCGCUUUAAUGUUUAAAACCUUACUCUGAAAAUUGCAGCUACCUCUAGCCUACCUUAGUUACGAUCUCUUUGGGGACUAUCUUAAAUGCAGUUUUAAGAGUGAUGAUUUAGUUCCAUAAGCAAGAGGGUUCUUGUUCUCUUUCAGUUGUUAAGUUUUGAAACUCAGCCCCCAUACUGUCAGGAUUUAAUCAUGGGAUGGUCAAAUGAAUCUUUCUUCUCAAUGCGAGGAACAAUCUAUAAAACCUAGAUGUUAUCUGAGAGCCAAAGCUACAAAACACGACUACUGUGUUAAACUACCGAUCCAUCAACAAAAUAAUGCCAGAAGAUGUUGUACUGGCUGUGGCAUCAAUUUGCAUUGGAUCAGUAACCCCAGUCCCUUAAUGAUUUAGAAUUUCCUCCUAGCUCCUUUUUUGCAAGAUCUAGUACCACCAUUUUCUCUCCUUAAUUUUUUGCAAGAUCUUCACCGUUGCUUUCUGCUUCAAAACAGCUCUACUUGUAGCAUGGUGCAAUUGAUUGAUUGAUCCUUCAUUAAUCAGUUUGUUUUUUACACUUUUCAUAUGAUAUCAGGUUGGAGACUUGGGUCUGUCCAAAGUAAAAUGUCAGACACUGAUCUCUGGUGGGGUGAGAGGAACUCUGCCGUGGAUGGCUCCAGAACUGCUUAACGGAAGCAGCAGCCUUGUUUCAGAGAAGGUUUGUGCAUUAACUUAAUCACUUCUAAUGGUUGAUUUGUUUUGAUAACUUCAUAGUUUCUCACCCUCUGAGUGCAAGUUCUGUGUUUUUAUAUUUGUCGUAUUAGGUUGACGUAUUUUCAUUUGGCAUUGUGAUGUGGGAACUCUUGACCGGAUUGGAGCCCUACGCUGACUUGCACUAUGGUGCUAUUAUUGGUAACUUUCCUGCUGAAUCCAAUUGUGAUUUAAUUAUCCAGGUUCAAGUUAAAUUAAUCGUUUGCACAUGGGGUUGCUAAACAAAAUUCAGGUGGUAUAGUGAGCAACACUUUACGCCCUCCUAUUCCAGAACAUUGUGAUCCAGAAUGGACAUUGUUGAUGGAGAGGUGCUGGUCAUCAGAGCCAUCCGAGAGACCAAACUUCACUGAGAUUGCCAGUGAAUUGCGAUCUAUAGCGGCCAAAAUCUCUCCCAAAGCACAGAACUCUCCCAAAGGACAAAUCCAACAGCUGCAACACUCUCCAGUGCAAACUCAACUCAACAAAUGAUUUUUCCUUAAUUUGUGUUUUAAUCCAUAUUAUAGGGGAUCAAAUGAUUCCUUAAUUGGUUCAGACAGAUAGUUACCUCCGAGGGUUUCAAUAAGUGUAGUUUUUUACUUUUACUACAUAUUUUCAAUCACUUCCAACCCUCAACACGAAACGUGUCAUUUGAGUGUGAAAAAAGAAAGGAAAGAGAACAAUUUGUCAAUAUUUUGAAAUUGCUUGUUAACAUUGUAAAAAGUUGUACCUUUAUUUUUUAAAUCGCGUGCUUUCAUUGUAAAUAUCGCGUGGAAGGUUUAUGUUUUGGUCAAAGGUGUGUUUACUCUUGCCAUGAUUGAGCAUAUAUAUAGGUCCUUGUUGGUAAGUCAAAUUUAAAAUAUUAAUUACAAUAACUUCACUUCGAGGCUACCAAUAAAUAUAUCAUCAAUUAGGAUUGUUUACUCUUUCCUUAUUAUUUAGUUUUACUUUGUUCGAAAUCAACUUCAUCAUGUCAUUUCUUUUUUAAAAUUUUGUUUUGAUGAUGAAGUUCAACAAAACUCAAUUGUUUAUAAUUUUCCACUUGUAUUUUAAUUUUUUACUACUUAAAUUAUGUAAUUAAAUAUCUUUCACUUUUAAUGUUUUCAUCAAAUCACAUCGGUAUAUAUUUUAAUCACUUUUUCCACCUCUCAUAAAACCCAACUCUGUAUGAAAAAUAGAAAGUCGAUAUUUGCUGGGAAACUUCCAAAGUCAAAGUUCAAACGUGUCUCCUAACAUUGUUUGACUUUUCCUCCUCAAUCUCUCUCUUGUCCUAUAAAUAUAUUCUGAAAUCUAAAAGCCGCCAGAAGCAGAAAACAUGGCAUCUCAGGAGGCAAGGCCAUUGGUGAUGGAAGAUUUGGAUGAAGCCAGCAGCAGUGGAUGUGGGUGUGGUUGGUUCAGAGGUUUUGAGUUGAAGAAAUGGUGGGGAGAAGGUGAUGAAGAGGGUAAAGGGCUACUUGACGAACAAAGUGGGGAGGGAGAGUCAUGGUUGGUGGAGAAGCUAAGGAAGGCAAAGGAGGCUUCAGAAGUGAUUGCCGGUCCCAAGUGGAAGACUUUGAUAAGAAAGAUAAGUGGGUAUGGGAAGAAGAUGAAGCAGCAAAGAAAGAGAUUCCAGUAUGAUGAACACAGCUACAAUCUCAACUUCAAUAGUGGCGCUCAGAGUGAAGAUGAAGCCAUGCCUUACAGCUUCUCAGCAAGGUUUGCUGCUCCAGGACGUCGCCAAAACGAAUCAUGAUGCAUCUACUGUUAUUGCCUAAACUUUCUUUACAUGAAUAUUCAUAUGUUCUUAAUCUUGUAAUUAUCAUUCAUCGUGUGAAGAUCGUGUAAUCGUUCUUUUCCCACUUAAUAAAAUUCCGAUUUUAGUUUGCUAAACUUUUCUGAAUGGCAAUGAAAAGAAAAGUAGUGGCAAAAAAAAAAAAAAGUUUGGUUUGAACAAUGAAUGGAAGAAAAGGAUUUGGAUUCUUCACGCAAAGUCACACAUAGAUUCCAGAAGGUAUAUACGCGUUCCAAAUAAUUUAUACUUUUCCUUUGGUUUAUGUAUGCCAAAUCCUUUUCAUUCGUAAUUCCUAUUGUUCAAGAAAAGCAAUUGGAAAGUUGUCCCCUCUCCUGCAACUUGCAUGCCUUUAAUUUUUAUUUAUACUAACACAGACCUCAUCAACACGGAACUUACUCUGUGUCAGUAUUUUUUAAAUUUUAUACAAAAUCUGAUAAUUAUUUAAUAUUAUAAUUAAAGUAUUAUAAAAAAUAAAUUCUUUAAAAUAUUGUUUGAUGGAAGAUGCAUUCAAGAAGAAUUGAAUGGGAUAGUUGUAGAAAAAUUAGUUACCUUAUAUAUAAAAAUAAUUAUAUUUAAAGUAAUUUCAAAAAAAUAAUUAUGUACAAUGAAGAAAGCUCAUUAUAUUGUUUUAGACGAUUAGUUUCGUCAAAUAAAAAGUUGAGCUUCUUAGUAAAGCUCCCAUAAAAUUUGUUUAAUAAGUACGAGAUAUUUUAAGUUAAAAUCAAUAUAACUAAGGAACGUAUUAUAUUCAUUAUUAUCGUAGCUACUACAUAUGGAGGUUCAAAGAAAGAAAGAAAAAUCUACCUAUACUUAAAAAUCUCGAAUAAAAUACGUACUCCUUAAAAAAUUAGGUAAAAGUUUUGAAGCCACGAGAAAACUACAUAAAAUGGAAUGAUAGCGAAAUAUAAUGCAUGAUCUCACAAAAAACCUCCACUAUAUUUGGCUUAUGCUAAAAAUAAAAAAAAAAAUUGUAUUAUGUCAUGAAUAAGACCUAUUCAAUAUUUAUACUAUAAGUUCACGGUUUACAAACUAGCUGUGCUCAUAAUUAACUUUUCUUUAAUGUCUUUAUCGAUGCUAUAAUUCAUUUGACAAUAAACCUAAAAUUUGAAUCAGAGUUAGGAUGUCAUCAAAACCUAAAGCAUAAAGUUUAAUUAAACCUUGUCAAGGUCAAUCAAAUACAUACUUGCCGAAUUUAAACUGUUAAAUAUAGUAAUUGAUGAAAUAAAUUGGAUUUUUGUACUACAUUUAGGUGCUUACUGCUUAAGAUUUAGUCCUCCAUUUUGUUUAACCACUAUAAUUAGAAUAUCUGACUUUUGGCUGAGAUUCAAAGUAUUACUACAGAUUUAUGUUUUUGGUUUGAUUAUGAAACUAAUUUGCAAAUUCUAAUUCAGUCAUACUAAUUCGUGGAUAAUUUUUGAAAGAAGCAGAAAAAGAAAAAAAUAUAUGUAUAUAUGUAUCAGCAUGCUGCCCAUUAAAUGGAAAAGAUUAAUUGUGCCUGCCUCAAUAUCAGAAAAGAAGUGGCAGCAGCCUCAUAUACAACAAUAGCAGGGAGGGCUAAUUUUCUGUAAACAGAAGUGAUUAAUUUUAUCAUGAAUUUACCUUUAGAUCCAGAGUUCAACAUUUCAGGUUCACGCUAACAGUAAGAUCUAAGAAUCCCACGACCACGCAUAAAAGAAGAAUAAUUUACCAAUAACUUUUGUUCAAAAUAUGCGACCAUUCACAUGAAGCUCUGAUUACUGCUUUCUCCUGCACUGCUACCAACCAAAAAUAGCAAUCAGAUGUAGCCAUAAAAGAUAUAAUAACAAUAUUUUCAAACAUGAUUUACUUUUUAAAUUGUAGACAUGUCUCAUACAUAAUUUCUGCAUUAAAUAGAAAAUAUUAAAAAAAUAUUAAACUAGAUGAAUUACAAGAUGAAAAUUAAGGUACCUCUUGCGCUUGGUUUUGGUGUUACUAGAGGAUGAGGGGUUAUUAGUAUGCCAGUUCCUUUUCCUUUGAUUUAUGAACCAAUUAUUUAUCUGCUUUAAUUGCAACCCUGUUUCCUGCACCAGUCUAGCUUUGUCUUCCUCCUAAAAAUACAUUUAGAAUAUAAAAAUGGAAACAAGUAUAAUAUAUAUUAUUAUGAUUGAGAGAUGUAUGUCCAAACUUACAGUGGGGUAUGGCCAUUUAGAAUGUGCUUGCCACCAAGCUUUCAAAAGGGAUGUGGUGUCUCCUGGAAGCUUCCCUGCUCGUCUCUUUCGUAGAAUUUCUUCUCUUAUGUCCACAAUCUUCUCCUUGUAACCCUGAUCAUACACAAACAAAUUUAACACUAUUUCUGCUCUUCACACAAAAAUAAACUCAUCAUACUUUUAACAAUUACCUGUUUCAAUUCAUGCUUCAGUUCAUGCCUCACUCGCUCCAUCAAGGAUCUUUCAGUCUCAGUCGGGACAAGAGGACCAAACCCAAGGCUUUCGCCGCCGUCGAAGCUCCCUUCGUAUAGGUUGCCGUUGCUCUCUGCCUGAUCAUCCUCAUCGUCUGACAUUGUUGCACCCGUACCUUCUCCGGGAGAGACACCUGCAUCCUCAUUCAUUAUAUUUCAAUAUUCAUCCUCAUCACUUUCAUCAAAGACGCAUAUUUAAUAUAAAUACAUAAUAACCUUUACACCAGAAUCUAAGCUCAUCAUUCAACUAUUUAUAUGUAAUCUCGCUCUAUCAUUGCUUUCUGAGAAGAAUACUUUUAAGGAUAUAUGCUUAUUACUGUUAACUCUCUCUUCCAAACUCUUUUCAAACGGAUGGAGUACUUCCUUUAAGAAUAAUAGUUGGAUGUACCAUUAAUGUAGCCAAACACAUUAUUAAUUACAAAAAUUACUGAACUGUGAUAAUUAAACUAUUCAUUUAAUAUAACUUGGAUGCACCGUUUUGAUAAUUAAACUAUUACUAAUAAUUGGUAAUGUAUUGUAUCUCUUCUCUCCUUCGAUCUCUUAAUUAUUAAAAAUUAACAUGCGGUAAAAAAUAUUAUCUUUUCUUCUCACUCUUAUUUAUUAGUUAUUUCCAUCCAUAUUUGUUUAGAGUGACAGAGAAAAUACACGAAGAGGACAGGUAAUUUAAUUCAUGCGAAGAAGCUGUGGGGUUAUUAAUAGGGUCUAUUUUAGAGCAUCCAGUUAUGGUAAAAGUUGGACAUAUCGUUUGAAAGAGCAAGAAACGGGCUUUUAUCGAUUUUCACUCAACGCUUUGCAUGUUAAGUUUGACGUCUGGAUGUCAAGGGAACAUAAAUUCGACAUUAUUCACAUGCUUGUACAUUAAAGGAGUAACACUAUUUAAUCUCUUUUUUUAUCUCAUUGUUUUUUAUAUGAUUUAUUUCACAUAACAUGUGUAUCGCAGUUUUUACUAUUUUCUUUUCUCAUUUUAAAGGAUUAUUAUGUCUUGACACACUAAAAAUAAAACCAAUCUCAAAUAAAGCAAUCGUGAGAAUAAUAUUUUGAAAUCAGAAUACAUCAACAGAAGAUUCAGGUAAAUUUACCAUUUCAGCAAUAAUAUCUGUACAUCUCUUUCUAAAAUUUUAUGUGGUAUCAAUUUCAACACUGGCAAAUAAGAACCCUUUUAUUCUCUUCUUUACAUGUCAUUAAUAAUACACUCAAAGAUUACAUUUUUUUUUUAUCAAGAGAAAAAUAUUUGUUUAGCUCACGGUAAUUAAUAAACAAAAAUUGAUUAUAUUUGACUUGCACUUUUUAAACUAUAUGACUAAAAUAAAAGGUUAAAUGAUUUUUAUAUUCAAUAUUUUUGUAUAUCGUAAUACUUUUUAACAUUUUAUCUUAUGUAAGCACAUUUCUAAAGUCUGAUAUUUAUAAAAUUAAAACCUAAUUCGAUGAAAAUUUAUGAAAGAAGAAAAAAUGCCACUAGUCCCACUUUCUUUUAAUUCGUCAAAAAUGCCAGUAGUGGGAGGAAUGAGAACAUUUUAAUUCGUCAAAAACAUUAUUCCUUUAGUUUUUCCUUUUGCCAUAGAUUAAUAUGCUAUUUCUUUAUCAAGUUUUGCAUUUUUUUUUUCUUCUCGGUUCAUUUUACCCACUCAUUUUUCCUUCACUGUCACCAAUUAUUCAAGCCCCUUCACACUGGGAUCUGAGCCUUAACUUUCGUUCUUCGUCGUUUCUCUUUCACCUUUCUAUUCUAUAAUAAAAUACUUAGCUCCAUUUUCCACCGGUGAAACUUAAUUUCUUAGCAUUGGGACAUUUUUAUGUGUUCAAUGUUUGAGAAGAAAUGUGGACUUAAGAAGAGUUGGAUGUGGAUAUCUUUUAUACUGUCAUAGAUAAUAUAUCCUAAUAAUCAAAUGUGAUGGGUCACUAUUUAAAAAAAUUAUUUUCUUCUUUAAUAUGAUAAUAUCCGAUUAUUACUCUAAAAAAUCUGAAUUAGUUGAGUUUACGAGUUUUGAUAGAGUUUUCAGCUGCAAUGUAGUAUGAGAUACAUUAAGAAAUGUAAUCAAUCAUUCAUAUUGAAUAAUUGUUAAUGUAUGAAGUUUUCAAUUUUAUAUUUCAAAGUUUUAAAUUCUUUUCUUUUCUUACUUAAAUAUUAUUACCUAGUAGGUAUACACAGUGUAGUUUUGCUUAAUAUGAAUUUGUAUUAAAGAUACCUAGCAGGUAUACAUACUGUAGUUCUGCUUACCUAGGUUUUGUUUUUCUUAUCUAUCUCCUCCUAGUUGUUUUUUUCCUAUUCUAUGGAGAAAACAGUGAAUGCAGUGAAAGUAUUGGAGGAGGUGGAGUGUGUGGUCUGUUCUGAUCUCCUUUUUCAUUAACUAAUUAAUUAAUUUUCUCUCUCCUUGUUUUGUUUACCGAGAGAGUAAUAAUGAGCAGAAAAAAGACAGGGUAACAUCUAGGGAGCCAAAAAAAAGAUGCUGAAAAUUUACCUGUCAAGCUUUGCAGAGACUGCUCCAGAUCCCAACAAGCCAUCACUGCCUCCAUGGCAUGAACACGGACAUGCUGUUGCAGUUGUUCUUUAAAUGCACAGAGCAACAGGACAUAAUGGGUCUGCAACAAACCAAAUACCAGCAAAACUCAUAAAGGAGCUUCAGAUAAUUAAAAACUAAGAAAAGACGACAAGAAGUGCAACGGAUCAUAAAUAUUAGAUACAGUUUAGAUAAACACAAAUGUGUUAUUAAUUAGAGUUUCCAUCAUACAAAUGGAGUGUACUAUAUACUUUGCAUCCCUCCAAUCAUUAUGUGUAAAGUGAAUAUCAAGUCAGAAUCAAAGUUGAAAAUCACCAACUUAAUUAUAGUUGAUUCUACCAUACACUACAGGACAAACACUACGUCCAGUUGAUACGUACAGAAUCACCAAACUCCGUAUUCCCUCAUUAUUGUACUUGGCGAAGUCAGAAAUGUACAUUAAUGAGGAAGUAAAGGUUGAGAAAACUUGACGAGAGCUUCAACUUUGGCUCAGAACAUAUUCCAUAAGAAUUAAAGAACUGAACCAUCAAAGUUUAGCAAAAAGGGGAAAGGAAAGAAAAAAGAGUAAGUGAACAAGUGGGAAGAUCAUGACAGCAUUAACAGAAAAGAUUCCAUAAAGCACUCCUAAAGGUUAUUGUAGGAAGCAGCAGCAUGAGAACACUCAAGGGGAGCCACUCCAUGACAAAUCAGAUUCACCACAUAAUGCAUCGUACCACCAUCCAUCCAAAAUCAAACUUCUAAAACCAUCAUCAUUCCCAUUAUCAUCAUCAUUCUUAUUAUUCAUUUUCUGAUUUCUUCUUAGCUUGUCCAUGAUAAAAAUCUUCACAUAUGAAUGAGGAUAGGCACAAAAGCCAAAAUGAUUCCAUAAAUCAGAAAGAUAAGAAAUAAUGAAAUCCCACGAUUGAAGCUUUGUUUACAAAAAUUGUUAAAGUUAAAUACAUAGAAAUUAAUUGAGAUUACGGAAUCGGAAAUUAGGUAAUAAUUUAUUCAGAGUAGCACUUAGAAACAAAGUGAGGAAUUGAAUGAAAUUAAGAUUCUUAGAAGUAGAAGUGCUCCUGAGAAAUGGGUUAAAGUAGUGGGACAAGAAAACACACGGAAUUGAAGUACAAAGAAGACAGCAGGUUUGCUAAUUUAGUAAGGAGAAAGAAAAGAGAUAAACAAACAAACAAACACAAACCAUGAACUGAUCAAGCUCCUUCUCAUCGACGACGCCGUUAUUCGCGAGUGCCGAGUACUUUUCCACCACGCGCUGCGACUGCUGAAGCUGGGCGUCGAUCCUGGGAAGCUGGUCGACGGGCGUGGCAAUCCUGAGGCACGACACGUGCGCCGAUAACAGUUGGUCGUAGAGAGGGUGGCCAAGAAUGUCCGCUUUGUACUCCCUCAAAUCCUCCGACUCGCAAUUGCUCUCGCCCCGGUUCCGAUCCACGCUUUUCUCGGCGGCGGCGUCGAGGAAAUUCUGCUGGCGCUGCUGCGCCGCGUUGACGCUGUUGAGCCAUGUCGGUGGGAGCCUCUGCUGCAUAUCUCUUCCCUCGCUGAGGUCUUGGUCCUCGGUGAAACGCUGGAACGCUAUUUCGUGGUGGAGAUGGUCUUGGAAAGCCAUAGUUAACCGAUUGUGAGCUUUUGUUUUUGUUUUUGCUCGCUACAUUUUAGUGGUUUGGUGGCUUUGUUUGUGGAUCGAAGUGAGAGAAGCGUGGAUUGGAGGGAGAAAGAGAAACGGCGCGUUUGGAAGGAGAAGGAUUGUCCGUUUGUUUGUUGUUGUGGUCGAAGGUGGUGGUGAAGAAAGGAUGAGAGAGAAGGGGAAGAAGGAAGAAGAAGUUCGGAAAAGCACUUUUUAUGGAAAGACUUUUGGAAACGUCGACGCAGGGAUCGAGGUGUGGGAAAUAUCCAACGGUGGGAUUGGCGAUAACGUGGAGAGAUUUGUGGAGACUACUCAUUGGAGCUUUCCCGUAAUAAUAAAAAAAGACAAAGACGGAUAAAAAAAUUGAUCAAUCAUCGAUGUGGGAGGCACCUAUCAAAAAUAAUCUUUUAAACUGUUUACCUUAAGAAUAAACAAUUAGUUUGAGAUUAAUGAAAGCAAAACAUAAACACCACCUUAAUCCUAGAUUUCAACAACUGUCACAAAGGUAUUAUACUUUUGCUGCUGUUAUUUCAAGAACCAGUUGAACUGAUAGAGUCGACACCAGUAAAUAACAAUGAAAGAAAAAAAAAACAAUAAAGCCUCUUAAAUAUCUAAAGGUUUAAGUUGUAUUAUACAUGUUUCUAUUUUGUGCAUGGAGUAGAAAGAAAAAUAAUACCCCUAUUAUAGGAGUAAUUUAGUGAUGUGGAAGUAAUAAUUAGUAUACUUAAAAUAGAGGGUUAACGUAUUUCCAUGAAUGAAAGAUGAAAAUUGAAAUUGGGAAAAGUUUUGAUGAUGGGUUGAAGUGACAAGUUGCUUUACCAGUUUCGAUGUCUUGAAUCGAAAAGCACUGAGGCGGUGUUGUAAAAAUGAAACAGAGUAUUGUGUGGUGGUGGAAUGGGUCGGUGUCAGGGUCCCAGAAACUCAAAACGACGUAUGAGAGGGUGCGCUAGUGGCAGUGAAGGUGAGGCCCACACCGAGCAGAGUGGACGUUGCCGUUCCUGAACUUGGGCUAGCCACUACCCAACCCGACAGCGACCUCAGCACCCACGACUGACACGCGUCACUCCCAGGAUUCAUGGACCACUUCACCAGUAACUGUGUGUUCCAAGAUUUGGGAGUGCGAAAUAAAGUCCGACUGAAUCAGGUUCGUACAAAUGCCUUAUCUUAACCAUCCACUCCGCUGGACCCCGCAACCAUCUUCAUCUUCAUCUAUCCUAUUUAGAUGAGUAAAAUUGAUAGAGGAUAAUUAUUAUUCGUGAAUAUUUAUUAUUUAUGCGUAAUAAGUAAUAGGUAUUUUAAUAUUUGCUUUUAAAUCGAUCGGGUAUAGAUAAUAUAUUAUUCGAUCUACGGGUACGGAUAUAUAUAUUUUUAAUUAAAUUUAAUUAGAAAUAAAAUUAUAUUUUAUUAGAUUAAAUUUAAUUAAAACUAAAUUUAUAUUUAUAUUAUAUUAUAUUAUAUAUAUUUCUUUUUUAUUUUAUCUAAAUUUUAUUUUAAAAUAUAUAAAAUAUUUUUUUCGGGUACCUGCAGGUUUUAAAAUACUCGAAGAUAUUUUUUAAACGAGUACCCAACCAAUAGCGAGUCGGAUAACGAAUAAGAUUUUAUCCGACGGAUUAAAUUGUAGAUAGACACUAUCCCUAUCUGACCCAACCCGUUGUCAUGCUAAUCUAUCAUUACUUCAUCACCAUUCAAACAAUUUCAUAUUUUUCCUUCUACCUUAUAUAUAUAUAUAAAUAUAUUUUUAAAUCAAUUUUAUAAAAUUAAAUUCAACUUCAAUUGUUAAAAUUGAGUUAUGAUUACAACAUAUAGGAACGAAAUCUCCACUCAUCUACCAGUCCACCAUCACUCGUAUAGCUGAUAACAAUUUUAAAUUUUUAUUUAAAUAAAACCCUUUGUAUAGAUACGAAGAGAUAAAUAAUUAUUACAUAAAAAAGUAGUCAUUAAGUUAGAAAAAAUACAAAUAAAAAUUAAUUGUGCAAUAACUCUAAAUUACAUUAUUAAAUAAAUCCCAACUGUAAAUUAAUUGUUGAUGAAAAAGAAUCCUAAAGAACGUAAACUCAAAGCUAAGUACGUGUUAACAGAAAAAGUUUUACUUGACAUAAUCUGAAAACUACUAUUUAUAUGAAAAGAAAAGAACUCUAACUAAACUAAAGUCAAUUGAAAAAUAACACUCUAAGUAAAUGUAAUGUCUGGUUGAGGAUGGACCCAAAUCGAACCCAAGUAUAUUCGAUUGAGGUUGAUUAAUAAAUUAAAAUACUCAAUUUAUUCCAUACUAUUUUUUAAGAAUUGGUGAACCUAUUUAUGAUAUUUUGUUUUAUAGUUUAAAUUUGAGGGUGUAGUAUAAAGUUAGGAAAUAAAAAAAAAAACUGAAAUAUAAAAUAAUUCAAAUUACAUGAAAGAAUAUAACAGGUAAACAAUUUUAAUGAUAAUUAAUAAUUUUAUUUGUCAUUAAUAAAGAAACCAGUAAUAAUUUGUGGAUGCAAUUACUUUAUGUUCUUCAUAUGUUUUUGAUUCUUGAACAAGUUCUUUUUAAAUUAUUAUAAUGAAUGAAUUUUAUUACGAAUUAUGUCAAAUCAAUUUUACACUUUUAUUUUGAUCUUUCUCUUUAUUUUUACAGGAAAAAAAUAUAUAACUCUUUCAAAUUUUCCACACUUUCUAUACACGGGUAACCAGAGAUAAAUAAAACAUUACCUCUUAAUUACUUAUUUUAUUAUACUAAAUAAAAAUAAAGAUUAGUAAAGAAUAACAACAUAAUCAUCUUUGAAACUUGUCUCUUUGAACUAAACCAACGAUCUUUCUCUACCAAACAAUAUGUUUUUCUUGUAUUAAAUUCUCUCUUCUCCUCAAACUAAUGUUGUGUAUGAAAGUAUCUUAUAACGUCCAAACCACGGUGAUUCUUGGUUAUGGUGUUAAAGGGUGUUUGGAGUAGUUAUUAACACAUUGGACAUGAGUGAUAUUCAUGCGCCAAUGUGAGAGGAGUAUUGAAGAUAGAAUUUAAAUUUAAAUUAUUGUUGCAUUUAGUUAGGAAUAAGUUUUAAAUAUUUAAAGUUGUUUUAUGUUUUUAAGUUGUUUCCUAUUUUUAAGUAUAAACAGUUAAUAUUGAUGAUAUAAAUGUACCUCAUUUGAGAAGGAAAAAAAAUGAAUUAGUAAAUUAUCUCCCAUAAUUGUUUCAACAAUAACCAGAGAUAAAUAAAACAUUACCUCUUAAUUACUUAUUUUAUUAUACUAAAUAAAAAUAAAGAUUAAUAAAGAAUAACAACAUAAUCAUCUUUGAAAAAUGAAAAUAAUUGAUUAUAUUACAGAUAUACAUUUAAUCGUGUUUAUAGCAAAAUUAUUAUUAUAUUUUUUUGAGUUGAAAAGUUAAAUAGGAGAAUAUCACCUUGUUUUUUUGUAUUUUUAUAUUUUUAUUUUAUUUUUUGUUUUAUGUGUUUUUGAAAGCAAAUGUAGAACAAUUCACGAGGUUUAAAGAACUAAACUUUCUGGGUGUUGAGUUGUUUCCUAUGCAGAUUUUGGAAGUAGACACGAAGAACAUUUUCAGGUGGAAGAAAACCAAAGCAACUCACCUAGAAAUCACUUUAUAUAGCCAAUAAUUCAUUAUAUUGAGAUAUAUAUAAAGAAAAAAACAUAAUAAAAAAAUUAAUUUAAUAAAUUAGAGUUUUGUGUAUUCAUCAUCAACCACCUAUUAACAUUAUAUAGUCUAACAUUAAUAGAUAAAAAAACAUAUAUAAAUAUUAAACUUAAAUAUACUAAUUUUAGAGUUUAGAGUUACUCUUCUUACUAUUUUCUUUUAUACAAGUAUUUCACACACUAUUUUUAAAUCCUAAAAAAUGAUAAAUUUACUAAGUUGAAGCAUCCAUGAAAAAUUUAUAGUAGGUGCCAAAAGUAGUUGUGAGGGAACUAAGGAUAUUCAUUGUUUGUUUCUAAAUAUUUUUAGGAGUUUAGUUUCACACAACUUUGUUACUUCAAUGGUUUCUUCGUACUUGGUUUUUCGAAAUAGACAUGUUUUAACAUAGGUUAUUAUGUCAUUUUAAGUAGUGUUUUAAUUUCUAUUUCUUUUUAUAUUUUAUUUAUUUUCAUUGCUCAUAUAUUUAUUAAUUUUUUUUUUAUCUUUUUUACAUAAUGAAAAUUAUAUUUUUUUAAAAAUAUACAUAAAUAGUUUAACUGAAAACGUAAUUGAAAUAGCCUAUCUUUAAAUUGUAAAUAUGAAUAUCCAAAUAUAUUUAUAUAUUGAUAACACAAAUAUAAUUUUAUAUUUAUCAUCUACUUUCCAAUUCAAUCAAAUAUUUAUAAUUCAGUAUUUGUUAAUAACUUUGACAAAAGAAAAAUUAUAUUAUUGGUUAAGUAAUAUUAAUUUACAACUUAAAUAAACAAAAAUAAAAAUCAAUUAUUUUGUUAACUUUCAAAAUUAUUUAUAAAAUAAAAAAAUAAAAAUAAAAAUUAAUUUAUAUGUAGAUUAAGUAAUAUUUAUGAGAGGAAAAAUAUGAAAAAAAAUAGUUUUUUUUAAACUAAAGUUAACGUAUACACAUGUUAGUUUCUUAAUAAAAAUUUUUAAAUUUAAGUUUUAAUUCAUGUAUAAAAUAAUUUAAACUAUUACAAUAAUCUUACUAAUAUUUUUUAUCAUGAUAGUAUAAAAGUAAAAAAAAACAAUAAAAUAAAAAUACAUUUAUAUGUGAGUGCUUUGUAAUCAAUUGUGUAUGAAAAAUAUUAAUACAAAUAAUAAUUUAAACUAUUAUAAUAAUCUUAUUUAAUGUUUUUUAUCAUGAUAAUACAAAAGUAAAAAACAAUAAAAUAAAAAUACAUUUAUAUAUGAGUGCUUUGUAAUCAAUUGUGAUUAAAAAUAUUAAUACAAAUCAAUUUUAUUCUUGCACACAAUCAAUGUAAUGUUUUGGUGAUUUCAAUAACACUUAUCUAUCUUCUUUUUUUUCGCAUUUAAUCAUGUUCAAGCCACCACUUUUUUUCUUCUUUUUUAUUUUCUCUUUUUCAUUAUCUCAGUCUUUACAUACAAAUUAAAAUUAAUUACUUUCCUCUCUCUUCUCUAUACCAAAAAAAACUAUAUUAUACAAAUAAUCUGUUUAAAUGUUGAUUUAACAAAAAAAUAUUUUAUUUUUUUAUUACAAGCUUAAUUGUAAUUAAAAACUAUUUAAAUAAGUUAAAAUAUCAUUUACUAAUUUUAUAAAAAAUCAUUUAUUAAAUUAGAAGUAUUAUAUAAGAAAUAAAUGUUACUUCCACAAGUAUUAAUUAUCUGACACUAACAUGCAUUUAAUGAAGAUCAAUGAAAUAAUCUAUGAUUCUCUUCUUAUGUGUAAAUAUAUUAUUGCAUACAAAAUUAAACUUGUAAUUUCAAUAAAUUUAUUGUGUAAAUAUACUCUUUCUUUAAAAAAUAAAUAAAUAUCGCCCUGUCUUUUUUUUUUAUUCUGAAAAUGAAAAUACAUCUUCCUUUAUAGAUAAAUUCAAAUUUUAAGCUAUAUUAAAAAAAUAUUUAAUCAAGUUGUAAUGGCAUCAUAAAUUUGAUUAUUUUCAAUUGAAUUUUUAUUAAAAAAAAUUAGUGUUUAAUUUUUUUAAAACAUCUUAGGCGUUUGAUAUCAUCAUUAAUGUAUUAUUUUUAUCUUUUCAUUUUCAAUUUAUUGAUUAACUAUAUUUAUUUUAAUUUUUCCUAACUCAUGAACCAACUAAGUUCAUAGAAAAAGAAUGAAAUGAAUAAGAAAAAGUUUAUAUGUGAAUUGGAAACAAGAAGAUAAAAAUAAUGAUAAUGUCAUUUUAUUUAUGACAAAAGUAAAAAACCGGAUAAUUGAAAAAAAAUAUGUUUUCAAGUAGUCAAUAUAACAAAAAAAAAUAAUCAAAAUUCAAUUAAAGAUACUAAAAUGUUUCCAACUUAAUUAAACCAAAACAUUAUAAUCAAAUUAAAUAAAAAUAUGAUACAAGGUUACUAAAUCUAUAAUAUUAACUUUACAUGAUAAAAUAUACAAUGUUUUACAAAAAUUGCAAUUCCAUUUUUUUAUACAAUAUACACAUUUUUUUUGUGCUUUCCCUCCUGUCUAGGUAACAAAUCACUACUCAAUAUACACAUUUUUUAUACUAAUUGCGUUGCAAUGUGAUUUCAGAAGACAGAGAAAAAGCAAAGCUGAUACAUAACCUCUGCAUGAAAUUGAACACCUUAAGAAAACAAAAAAUGUUGCAUGAAAGAACUCCUGAACACACUCCUUCAUUGCUGUCUUAUUACCACUGCAAGUAUCAAUGGCUUGGAAACAGAACAAACGAACAAAACAGCUUGUCCCUUUGAAGCCAUUUCCUUCAGACCACAUAGGCACUUUCCUCUCUGUCAUUGUCUUGUUUUAGAAAGAAAACAGUGUGAAGAAAACUUGGAAGUUGUUGUGUGCAUGCAAAAAUCAGACCAUGAUGUUUUCUUGGCAAAUGAAACACAUCUUUGCUGAGGACAAGCAUUGGAACAAACACCGUUCAAGUUGUGCAAUGCACAGCCACAGUUUUUGUGGUAUGGCCUUCGCUCAAUCUCCAUGUCAUGCAAUGAAAUACUUCCCUCAAAAACACACCGAAGCAUCAUUCGGCAUGCUCCAGUGGCCAUUCUGUUGGUGAUGUGGCUAACCUUUCUCAAACUUAUAUAUAUGCAUCAUCAUAUAGGGUGUGUUGGAUUGGAUGAAGAAAUCAAGAGUAGGAAACUAAAUUUGUAUUUAUUAUUCCCGUAAAAUUCGAAGCUAAAGUAGACAGUUACACAAGACAUGCAUCGCUAAGGAAAAUAGAGACAAGUUAGUGGUUUGGCCUCUCUUUCAUGCGUGCUUCAAACCCACCUACCUUUCCUUGUCUUGUAGUAUGGUUCACUUUUGCUAUAGAAUUCUCCAAAAGUUUUGGUUAACUUUAAUAUAAUUCUUAGGUAGGCGAUAAUUCCUAUGCAGAAAGUUGUAACUUUUGCGUCACUUCAAUUGCUAAGUCAAAAUGUAGCAGUGACACUUUAUGUUCUCCUUACAGAUACUAUUGUUUGAGUCCAUGUGAUAAUGGAUGUGGUAACUUACAAGAUAAUGCUUAUUGUUGACCCCUUCCUUCUAUGCAUCCAAAUGAAUGGCUAGUCAUAAAGGAAAAUGUUAAUGUUAGUUGUAACUCUCCAAGGGUAUUCCAGAAAUCAGGAUCUUUUGCUACAUGAUUAUAUAAGCUACAGAAUGGAGAGGGUUUAUGAUGAAACUGUAGAAACUCAAUGCUUAACAGUUCGAGUUUGAAAGAGAUCUUCAUGUUUUCCUUACAAAACAGAGGUAUGAGUAUCAUACCAGAUUUCAUCUCAGAAACAGUUGAUCUUAAGUGAAGCUGUUCAACAUGUAUAUAAUUGGCUUUUUGACCAAAUCCGACAAGGAUGUAACCCAUAUCUAGUAUUCACUUCCUUAUUGCAGAUUGAGAAUCAGAUUCAGGAAGGUCUAGCUGGUAUCCGCUGGCAUUCUGUUACAGAACAUUCUUUCAAUUUUAAUGUUUCCGACCAAAUUAAAUUUAGUGACAAAAAUUCUUAAUCAUGUGUUUUAUGCAGGACAUCCCAGUUGAAAGGAAAAUCCUUAAUGAUUGGUUUGCAAAUCAAGAUUUAGCCAAGUUAAUGCGUAUAUUCCUCUGAACAAGUAUUAAGUAAAAAUUUUAUGUAACUAGUGAGUUACUCUGUCAUUGGAAUGUCGAUAUUGAAAAUUAAAUCAUCUGAAAAGGACAUUUGAUUUUCAUAUCCUGUUUGUAGAACAAAUUCCAUAGAACUACAUUCUCAAUCCAGCUGCCAUAUAGUAUGUUCUGUUCUCUGAUUGUUUUCACAGUUCACGUGUGUAGGCCCUCUUCACUUUUUUCCUUUGUUUUCUCUGUCAUUUGCAGAUGAGGUCUUAGUCUCAGUUCACCCAUAUGAUACCUCACAGGACCAAUACAUAUUUAAUUAUGAAUAUUAUAAUAUCAUAUUUUUUUACUUAAUCGGGAUCAAAUUCAUUGUUCCAUUCGAAACUGCAAACCAGCAUCUGACCAUCCCAUGUGAAUUGAUCUGGUCUGACAGUUUGAAGAUUCUUCAAAAACUGUUCAAAGACAGCUAUUUUCAUUCAUCAUCCAUAUUUAGGAUAAACUUGACCUUCAGUAAUUAACUACUGAUAAACUCCUCGGCAAUUACAAGGGUAGUUUCUAUUAUUUGUUCUAACCUCAAAAUAUUUACUGUUAUUGUUCAUCUGGUUGAAUGCAGUAUUAUGGAUAAUGAUAGUUAUAUGAUAAGAAUCCGAAAACUGUGUCAAGAUUCUUUCUUUAAUCACGAUUACAGAAAUUAAACCAAAACCAAAAACAAAUUGAGAUAUCACCGUCCAUCAACAAACAUUCGCAGGAAUCAAUUGCUCUAACUUCUAAUUUGUUAAAACCAAUAUUCAACAUACAAUCAUAUUUUCAAAUUUUUACAAAACCCACUCAAGAACAAUAAAUAUUCCUAAUAUUUACACCAAAAGAUUAAUUAACAAAAUGCAUAUUAGCAUAGAUACAUUGCAAAUACAUAUAAAGGUCUAAUUUUGAUGAGCAUAAUAACAAUUUAUGAAAAGCCAGAAAACGACCAUAGGAAACCGUCCAUACAAAGACUUGACGAUGAAAUCAUCUUGGUAACUAAGAAGGAAAGAAGAAGAAGAAAACCCUAAACCAGACUGAAACCAAUGAAACAGAUUGAAUAUUCUUGUCAUGAAAUCUUAACUAAAGGAAAUCUUAUCUUCUCCAUUGGCAACCUGAGAAGGAGAAGAAGGAAAAGUAGUAGCCAACGCCAAGCUUCCUUCACUCCAGGCCCUCCUCAUAGGGUAUGACACAUUGUUAGACCUUGGAAUCUUGUGCGUGCAAUGAAGAGACUUGUUAUGGAGUUCACAGCCACAAUUACGGUGGUAGGGUCGCCGUUCAAUGCAGUUAUCGUAGCCAGAAAUACAUCCUUCGUACACCGACCAGAAUAAUCCAUCGGAGGCAGCACCCGUAGCAGCCAUGUUUUGCUGCUUCCAAAUAAGAAAAAGAAGAUUUUGCUAUAAACUUCUUCUCUUGUAGCUUGUUGAUGAUGCAAACGCGUAAGCUCCUUUAUAAAGUGCUUAUUUAGGCUUUGAGCACAAAAUUAUGGGCAUUUAUAUAAUACCAUACUCUGGUAGUUGAUCGAAUAUACCUCGGAAGUUAGUUUUGGGUAAAUUAAGAACGGCACGUUCAAGAAGUGUGGGAUGUCUCCUGUCUCAGACACAUUUUCCAUCUAAUAAAAAAAUUAAAUUACUUAUAUGUCUUAUUUUUUACUCUUUAUACGUAUUAUGUGUAUAAAGGAAUAAUUAUAAAAUAACUAAUCUAUAUUAUUAAUUGCUGUAGAUUUUUCAACUUAAAUAUCUUAAAUGAACUUUUCUAAAUGAUUUAGAGGCAAUUUUUAAUUUAAUAAAAAAAUCUGAAUCAAGGUAAAGAAAUGUUUCACGAUCUAUAAAUGUUUACCCAUUUAUAUAAAGAAUUUGAAAACUAAAGUGAUUGACAAUAGUUGUAAAUUGUCAUCAUAUAUUAGUAUUUUUAAUCUAUCAUCAUAUUUGUAAAUAAAUUAUAUAAUUUGAUGUUGAGCUAUAAAAAAAAAUACUUACGUGAAGUUAGGAGGUGUUACUAGAAGGUAUUAGUAAGUAGCCAACAAGUUAAACAAAAAAAAGCAUGGCACUUGUUUAGGUAACCAAUUCUAUGCUUGUUUGUCUUUCUUUUUGCCUUCCCCAAAUAAAACAAUCUUUGAUUUUGGACACUUUUGGUUUUGGUCUUUGAUUGACCAAAAACAAGUUGGUCCAUUUGUUAGAUGGUAAAGCAAACGGAAAAAAUUUCUUUUAACAAUAAUUUUUUUAAUAAUUUUUUGACAAUUAUGAUUGAUUAGUUUUAAAUAUUUUUUAAACAUAAAUUCAAAUAAAUUAAUAAAAUGAUGUAUAAAAAAAAAUUGUCAAAAAUGUUGUGAAAAUAUAUUUUCCAAAGAAAACUAGGUUUGUUUUGAUUGUGGGUUGAAGUGUUUGAGUUGUACACGCUGGGGCUUUGUCAUGUUCCAAUUUAUAGUCUUUGGUUUUAUCGAAUGGUUUUGUUUGGAGGUUUACGAGGGAGUGUGAUAUGAUACGGUUAAACUCAGAUUCAUCUUCGCUUUUUAGUUUCUUCUGUCUAUUACUUUUUUUUUUUUUCUUUAUUGUCUUAUACAUCAAUGGACUAACAGGUUAAGUUCAAUCCAAUUACCAAAAUAUAUUUUUAAAUUGUUUUUUAAAAUAAAAUCAUAUAAAAUAAAUUCGUCCAGACUUUGACUUUUAGUUGAAAUAAAAAUAAAUAAACUAUAGAAGUCUCCUACUGAGUAAAAAAAAAACUAAUGAAAAAUAACACAACUUUUAUUAUAUAUAUUUUAAAUUACACUAACAUAAAAGUAAUUUACCUCUGAUAACAAUAUAACUCACAUAAAAAAAAUAAGAUUUCAACAAUACAAAUCAAGUUAAAAUUAAAUUUAAAUUAAAAUACAAAAUUAAUAAAAAUAAUUAUGAGGAUAAGAAACUGUAUUUCGCAAUGAAAAUAUAUUAAAUAAACUUUAAAAUUUUAAAUAAAUAAAUUUUAUUUUAUUUAUUAAUUUCAUAUUUUGUAAUUCAUUCUUUGUUUUAUUUUAUAAAUUAUUUUAAUAUUUUUAUUUUCAUUAUGCAUUUGUCAUAAUAGUAAAAUAUAUAAUAAAAUUAAUUAAUUAAAUAUAUUUUUUAACUUAUUAUUAAAUACUACAUCAAUUAUUUGUUUAUAAUUCUAAUAUUAUUUAUUUUAAUCCUUUAUAAUAUUUAGAUUUAAAAUAAAUAUUUUAUUAUAUUUUCUAACAUAAAAUUGGUUAUAAAAAAUAUUUGAUUGAAUAGAAAGUUAACAAUAUAUAUAUAUAUAUAUAUAUAUAUAUAUUUUUUUUUUUUUUUAUUUUUUUUUUUUUUCUAACAUAAAAACGUUUUUGCAUCUCUUUGUUUGGUUUUUGCAGUUACUUCAUGAAUCCGAAUCAUUGUCUUUUCAUUGUUGAAAAUAAAGAUGUUAUAUAUUUUACCAACCCAGGAAACACAGAAAAAAAACAAGAUAUUAAAAUGAAGAAUAAAAAAAUAUAUGGCAAAAACUAUUUUUCACAACUUUGAUAGCUACAAAGAAUUAAAAUAAUUCUUGACAAUAAUGAUAUUAGGUAAGAACUUUAAUAGAAACAUUUUAAGGUGCUUUGAGAAAUUUUGUGCAUCCAAAAUGUAUUGAUUAUCUUUUAAAACAUACAAUGUAAGCUUAAUCUUAUGAGUUACCUUAUGAAAAAACAAAAAGUUAUAUAUAUAUAUAUAUAUAUAUAUAUAUAUAUAUAUAUAUAUAUAUAUUCUAUGGAAACACAUGUUUGUAUUUACUUUUAUUUUAUGAUAAUAAAAAAUCAAAAUUAAUUAACUACUAUAAAAAAUAUUUCAUUUUAUAUAAAAAAUAUAUACUAUUAUAAAAACAGUUAAAAAUUUAAAGAAUAAAAUAAUUUAGAUCAAUAAGAUAAAUAAAUAUGAAUAUGAAAAAAUGUUAUAAAAUCUUUUUAUUAAUAGUUAUUAGUGAAAAUAUGUGUGCAUGUUUAUUUUUUAUGAUAAAAAAUUAAAAUUAUUAUAAUUAUAAAAACAAAUAUGAAUAUUUUUUAUAAUUUUGUUAUAAUUUCAUCUAAAUGCUUUUGGGUAACCAAGGAUUGAUCCCAUUCACCAAUUUGGUAUUCUUGACUCGGUGAAGAGUUCUAAAACAGGUUUAGGUGUCAAAUUGAAUAUCAAUUUGAUCAAAUGACCACUUUCUUGAUUUUUCUAAUUCAAUGUUAAUUUCAAUCAAAACAAAAAUACUUCAUACAACAAACAUAAAAAUAACUCAACAUACAAAAAUGACCAAUUUCAACAAUACAAGUAGCUAUCCAAAUCUUAAACUGAACAAACUUUGAUCACAAACAUGAAGUUCGUUAAAAAAUCAAUAUCUAUACAAUUUUACCUAUCAUGACCUCAAUUCUAAAUAAUUUCUAACAUCACACCUUCACAAUUUUCUUACAGAAUUUCAACCCUAUAUUCAACUAACCAAUACUUCAAUUUCAUUAAUUCCAAACAAACAAACACAAGGUUACUUUCAACCAUAAUAUACAACAUACUACCAAUUAUAAACAAAAAAAAAAGUGUCAAACAACACACUAUCAUAAACUCGUAACAGAUUCUAACAGUGCUUCAAUCAACUAAAACAAUAAUUUCAACCAAUCACAGACUAUCAAACAUGCACACAUAAUACUAAUCAUAUUAGAACUUGAGAAUAAUGAUAUUUAGCUUUUUUUAUUUUAUAGAAGACCAGAUAGCGAUAAAAAAAAAACAUAAAUUAGCUCCACAAGCACAAGAAGUCUUACCUAUUCCUACAAACCAUGUAAACACGAUCAUGAUACACGGUUAGAAUCAUUGAUUAGUAGAAAGUCUUGUAGAAGUCCAAAUGUCACAUGCAUCCACAACAAACUCGCAUGCAAAGGAAGACAAACAAACAAAAAAGAGGAGCAUAUAACAAACUUAUUCUAUUUAAGAAAUUGAUCGAUCCAAAUUGAAGAGUUCGCCGCCAAUAUCAAUCCCACGGUCUUAGUUCUUCAAUCAGACGAACAAAGGAUAAGAACUUUUAGAGAAAUGAUAGAAAAUUUUCAAAAAGUCAUAUAUAGAAAAAACAAUAUGUUUUAAAACUAUGAAACUUGUUGAUAACAAAACUAUUUACAUUAAAAACUCUUUAAUAUUGAAAUAAUUAAGUCUCUCUAUUUUUUUUAAUCACUACUACUUCUAAAAUGUUAUUUUUUUAAGUGUUUACAAUAUUCAUUCCUAUUUUCAUGAUAAUGAAAUAUAAUAGAAUUAGAAACAAAUUUAGAUAAUUCUUACAAUUUUAUGUAAUGUUUAUUUUUUUAGAUAUUUUUUUCAUUAUACAGUAUGAUUUUAGUUUUGAAAAAUAGUUAAAUUUUAAAAAAUAUCAAAUAAAAAAGAAUGUUAAUUUUAAAAAAAUCGCGUAAAAUUCAUACUAUAAUUAUUUUAAUUUAAAAAAUACUUAAAGAAUAAUAUUGAAAAUAAAAAAUGGUAAAAUGAAAAAAGAAAGAAAUCAAAGCUUAAAAAAACCGUCAUUUAAAUGGUAAAAUUAGUAAAAUAAUUAUUUUAAUUUAAAAAACUUUUAAUUAAAUGGUAAAAUAGAAAAACAAAUAAACACAAAAAAAAAAAAGAGAAAUCUCGUGUAAAUAUACUAGUGAAAACAUCUGCGCUUUGGUAUCUUAUUGGGAAAAAAAAAUUGGGAUAUUAUUCUUUCAUUAUUCAAGGAUUUUGAUUUUUGAAAAGUAUUUUGGUUAUUCAAUGAUGAGUUUUUUUUUUUUUUUCAAAUGAGAAAUUUAAAGACACGUUGAUUCUAAUAAUGAUUAGAAAGUAAAUAGUUUGGACCUUUCGAUUGGUAGAUGUAAAUCUUGGACCUAUUCUAAUAAUGAUUAGAAAGUUGAUUCUAAUAAUGAUUAGAAAGUAAAUAGUUUGGACCUUUCAAUUGGUAGAUGUAAAUCUUGGACCUAUGAACGAGGAUACUCUCUAAAAAAAUGAAAAAAAAGUGAACUAGAUAAAAAGAGAAAAGUUUGGAAAAAAAAUGGAUAAAAAUAAGCAAAGUGACUUACAUUUUUUUUAACAUAACCUUAGAUAAAUCAAUUGGAUAAUGUGUAUUUAGUUUUUCUUUUAUAAUAAAAAAUUGAUAAAAUUACUAUUACUAUUAUAAUUAUAGAAUUAUAGAAUAAAUUAAAAAUUAUUAUGUUAUGCAUAAACAACCAAUCAAUGUUGUCAAUAUUAUUGGAAAAAUCAAUCAAAACAAUUUGUGAAACCAAAUAUUGAUUAUAACGUUACAAAAGUACUCUUUUUACAAAAUAAUUAUCCCUAGAAUGACAACUUAUACUUUUAGCAAAAUGUUCAAACCCAAAUUGGCCUAAAAUAAAAAUAAAACAAGUCUUAAUCUAAGGAUUUGUAGUAGUUUGACUAACAUCAAUAGCAAUUGUAGCUAGAUCAUCUCUCCCAUCAAGAGGCAUCUCAUGAAGAUGUACAAAUUUUCCAUCAUAUAAAUCUUUCAUAAUGUCGGACUUACCUUCGUCAAAGGGAACAUUGUAAAAAUAGGUCGUUUGAGCCAACACCUUCUUGAAACCAGUUUCACGUUGAUUUAAACCUAUUGACCAGUCUCCACAAGUGACCGCCAGAGUUGUAUUUUUCUUGACUAAGUCAUCCACGACCUCUUUAUAUUUUUAACGAUCAAGCAAUAGAUCGUCCACUUAUCGUUAAAGGUGACGAUUCUCCUUACCUAAGCGCCUUUCCUCCGUCUCGAUCUUUGAAAGGCGUGCCUCCAAGUCUUCCUUAUCCUUAUGGUAGUUAACAUGUGUGGUAAUGGUUGUCUUCAGUGUUAACAUUGAUAUUCAAGGCUUGAUCUAGGUCUUGUUGAGCACUGAAUAGUUCUUUCUUGACCCAUUCAACCUCAACCUUUUCGACACCAAUAUAAACUUUGGUGCUCAAUGGCGUGGCUUGUACACUAAGCCCAACAAGGACAUCCAUCGCUUUCUGAUUGGUGAUACCCUUCGACAUCUCUUUCUCAGCCUCCACUUAGACUGAACAAGACCUUGACACCCAAGUAUGGUACGGUACAAAAAAUGUCCUACUAAGUUAAUCAUCCAAUUUAUUUCAAAUAUAAUUUAAAAGUUAACAUUCACAAUAGGUCAUCUUAUAAGUAAUAAGUAAAAAUAAACCAUCUUAAUGAUAUUUUUCAUAAUUCAACUUAUUUACUACAAAAUAUAGAAUUAUUCAAAAUAUAUAUAUUAAGAGUAACAAUUUUUCCAUAUACUUCAUGAGUAUAUGAUAAGUUUUGAAACAUCCAAAAUAUGAAAUUGAUACGUAAUAAACUUCUUUUAAGUUCUUAUAUUACCUGAUAUCUUAUGAUUUAUAUCAUACAAACUAAGUUUAAACCAUUUUUUGGUCUCUAAGUUAAGUUCUGAUGUUCAGUUUAGUCCCCGCUUUUAAAAAUGUCAACCUUUAGUCCCUAUGAUAUGAAAAAUGUAUCAAAUCAGUCCUCAUGACAGCACUCAAUGAACAAUAAAUCACAAGUUUUCAUACCUAGGUAUCCAGUAUUUUGUUAUUUGUUAACGGAAGGUGUUAUGAACAACAAAUCACUUAAUGAAAAACUUGCGAUUUGUUAACGAAUAGGACUGAAUUGAUAUAUUUUUCAUAUCAUAGGAACUAAAGGUUGACAUUUUUAAAAGCGGAGACCAAACUGAACAUCGAAACUUAACUUAGGGAUCAAAAAAGGAUUUAAACCUAUAAACUAUUAAUAAUAAAGUGACAUGUAUCAUGAAUUUCAAUAUUUAACAUACAAAUUCAAACAAUAAUUCACAAUUUAUGUAACAUGAUAAACUAGGGACCUCAAAUUCAUACAUUUUACAUCAACAUACCAUUUUCAACUAUAUGUAUAACAUGAUUUUCUUCAUGAGACAUAAAUUAUUUGAAUAUGAAAUUGAACAUUUUUUUAUAUAUUUAUAUAACACUCAUGCUUAAUCAAUUAAAGAAGAUGAUAAAAAAAUUAUUAGUUAAAGAAUUGUAUCUUAAAGAAGUUUUCCUUUUUAUACUUGAAGUGAAAGUAAAUCUUAGAUAUCAAACAAUUACUAAAGAUGAUUUUUAUUUCACUUUUACUUGAAUAGAGUAAAAAUAUCAAACAUUACAUUUGUUUGAAAAAAAAUAUAUCAAAUCAUACACUCAAUUUAACAUUCAAAUGAUGUCAUAUCUCAAACAAUCAUAAUUUUGUUUAUAGAAAAUAUAAAAUGAUACACUUAUUUAAGAAAGAAUAUUAUACAACACAUUCACUCGAAUGAAUCAAAUUAUUUAAAUGACUUAUGAAAUAAUUUCAUUGAGUAAAAAUAGCAUAUAAUACAUUUGUUUAAAAUAUUAAAGCAAUACAUUUUACAUUAAAACUAAGACAAACAUCUGCCUUUAUUUUUAUCUUUGAAUCAAAAUUUACACUAAAUAAAUAUUUAAAUCAUAAAUAAAAAUUUAUACAUAAUUUAAUUUAUUUUAAAUAUAUAUUUUAAUUUGUAAUACGUGGUUAAUAUCAAUUAGAAAACAUAACGGAGCAAUAUGCAGAUAUUUCCUUUUAAAAUAUGAUAAAGAUGAAAGUAUUACUCCAUCAAGCAUGUGACAUAUGUAUGAUAUAUUUUUUAGGUACUGUUGUGCUUUUUAAUUUCAGUGUAUCUAAAAAUAUUUAGCACGAUUUUUCUGAAACAUUGGAAUUAUAUAUCUUUUUUAAACCAAUUAAUAUUUUAAAUAUUAUUUUCCCAUCUGCUUUAUUUUUUUUAAUACAUUAUUUACUUGGGCGACACGUUCUGCUGAGUAACAUAAUAAGUAUAUUUGUUUAGGAACAUCGUAUUGGGUCGGGUCAAACCCGGUGACAUAGUUCAUUUCUUGUUAUUGAACUCUUUCUCACACAGCGAUCGAAGCAAUCGUUGAUCACUCGAAGCAAACAUGGGUGGUGGAAACAGAAGAUCCAAAGGGAGAGGAAAACCCAGCAACAACACCAGUGGCAACGGCACUCCAAACAACCCUAAAUCCCGAAAGAAAAGAGGUUCAGAUGUCAAAACAGCAUUGUUUGUCGAAGGUGGUUUCUUGUCCGAUUGGCAGCUUCCCUCUCCCACCCACACUCCAGGUUUCAGAAACUCUUUAAU